GAGGGAGACCUGUGACGACUACGACGACCACCGUGAUUGAGAAUAAGAAGAUACCUGCAGGUGUUAGAGGAAGUCCUAAUAAUUACUUCAGAUCAGAAGGCCAAAACUGUGGCAACUUCCUCACGGUAAAAGGAUUAGACUUUGUUACAUUUUCAGAUUGAUAUAUUCAAAACUUUAGAUUUGGAAACUGAUUUAAUAUCGAAAAUUUGUUGUUGUUAUUGGUGUGGAUGAUGAUGAGAGCAGGAGAGACCAUCGACUAAGGUUCAUGCUGCUCCUGGUGGAGGAUCUUCUCUUGGCUAUCUCUUUGGUGGACCAAGUUCUGCUGAUUCUGGAAAGAAAUGAAGUUGCUUUGUCUGGCUUUCCGAUUUGUAAAUCAUCAAAACAUUGCGUGAUUCAUUGUGGCUAUAUCAUCCCUCCAUCAAUUAGAACAUUGUGUGAUUCAUUGUGAUGGAGGGUAACGUUUGAGUUUGAUCUGUUCUUGUGUGCUUGUAGACCAUCUUAAAACGUUGUGUUUCUUUUUCUAAGAUUUUCAAGAAAUAAACAAACAAACAAAAUAAUCAUAAAUAAACAAGACAAUGCUCAGCAUUUUCACCACACUCGAAUCGGCUGCUCUAAUGAGUGUGAACUAAAUAAAAGCUCAAUCCUGGCCGUUGGAUUUUCUUAUUGGUUUUAACUAACCGUCCCCGUUGCUAAAACCGUUAAUUUUAGUGAACCCGAUUCGGUUUCGGUUUACCUUAACCGGAGAAGAUAAAAUGUUAAUUAGGGUUUCUCUCUUCUCCUCCGUCUCGUCUCUCUGCUCAGCUGCUGGAAGAAGUUACAAUUUUGUUCAUCAACGCCGCCGAGAGAAGAGCUUCGAGCUAAGCUAUGACGACGAUUGUUCCCACUUCCGAAGAAGAUCCGUUUCUCGCCGUCGUCCGAUUCACUUCUCAGCUCGCCUGGGCUGAUGCUGGUCCCGAGGUACCAUUCUUAGCCAUUUCAAUUUAAGAUCUGAUUGUUAACCGAUGACUGAUAGACUAGAAUAGCUUGUAACCGUUCAUGAUUCUGAUGCAUAUGACAAAUUCAAAUUACUCUAAUUGAGCUACUCUUAUAGAUUGCAGAGCCAGAGAUCACCAGGCUAUGUAGGGAGGCUGAGGAGUCUAUUGUAGCAGGAAAGUGGUUGGAGUUAGCUUCGUUGAUGGUUACUUCAGCUGAAUUGGUUUCUUCCAAGAUCUCUGAGAAAGGUUUGUUGUGUUCUCUGUUAUAGCACUAUGCUCAUCCUUUUUGUAUCUUCAUCAUCAUCUUAUUAUUAAGUGUUGUUUGUAUCUUUUGAUUCAGAUCUUGAGUGCACCUACACCAUCAUUUGCAGCCUUGUCAAGAAUGCGAAUAGCGCCGAGGAUGUUCUUGAAAUGGUGAACGCUAUCUCUUCCAAGGUUGUUCAGCAACCGAGUGACAAAGCUUCACUUCGUUUGAAGAUGUAUGAUUCUUAAUAUGUUAACAUGUUUUACUUGUGAAUUACAUAUGUCUUAUUGUUUUGGUUAUAUUUGUCUUUUGUUUAGCCUCUUCAAUCUGUAUAACCUUGUGGACCACCCGUACGCUCGUUUCCAAGUGUACAUGAAAGCUCUAACACUAGCUGUUGAAGGGAAGGUAGCUGAGUACAUAGUUCCUUCUUUUGAGAAGAUUGAUAGCUUCUUGAAAGAGUGGAGCAUCGACACUAAAGAUCAGAGGCAGCUCUUCCUUGCUAUUGCUAACGUUCUGAGAGAGAACAAAAGGUACUGUAACAUAACCUUCUCGGCCUGGUUUUUCUUUUAGGUUAUAACAAUAUAGCCUCGUGAUUUUGUCUGUCAAUGUUCCAGCUUGGUGAAAGAAUCCCUCAAGUUCUUGACGAAGUAUCUAGCGACUUUCUCUAAUGAGGAUACUCUUGAUGAAGCUAAGGAGGAGGCUGUGCGUGCAGUUAUUGAAUUUGUCAAGGCUUCCAGCAUCUUCCAGGUAUUCGUAAAAGCAUGAUUUUAAUGGGAUGUGUAAGAUUCUCCUCGUAUAUUUCAUCAAUGAUUCUUUGUAAUUGCAGUGUGAUUUGUUGGACUUGCCAGCCGUGGCACAGUUAGAGAAGGAUGUUAAGUAUGCACCUGUUUAUCAGCUACUUAAGAUCUUUCUUACUCAGAGGUUGAAUGCUUACAUGGAAUUCCAAGCUGCAAAUGCAGAGUGUCUGCAAACCUAUGGUACUAAAUUGUAAAUCAGUUUACUGCUUUUUCGUAAAUACAAUGUCCUGAAGAAUCCUUCAUUUCUAUAUAUGGUGUUUCUUAGGACUUGUCGAUGAAGAAUGUGUAACGAAGAUGAGAUUGUUGUCACUGGUGGACUUAGCUUCAGAUGAAUCUGGCAAAAUACCUUACACCUCAAUUAAAGACACUCUACAGGUAGUUAACUCAGGAACUCUGAAAUAUUGGUUAUGUUUUUCAGUUGCUUACUGUUUACUGUGUGUUCAGGUGAAGGAAGAGGAGGUUGAACUAUGGAUCGUCAAGGCAAUCACUGCUAAGCUGAUAGAUUGUAAGAUGGAUCAGAUGAACCAAGUUGUCAUUGUCAGGCAAGUUGCAUCAGUUGAAACUCUUUUACUUAAAAGAUAAGUCUAUGUAUGUAUAUUCAUUGUUUGAUGGAUGUUUCAUAUCUUUCAGCCGAUGUUCCGAGCGUGAGUUCGGGUCAAAGCAAUGGCAGUCACUUCGAACGAAGCUCGCGACAUGGCGGGUAAAUACGAAAACUUCACAUCUUCUUCAUAACAAAACAUCUCUUGGACCUGAUUUUUUUGUUUGUUUUGGUUAUGUGCUAGGAUAACAUUGGAAACGUCAUAAGCACAAUCGAAUCGAACAAGGUAACCGAGGAAGGUUCUCAGGCAUCAUCAGCAUCUGCUGCAACAAUUCAAGGAUUGGGUGUCCGUUGAAAAGCUAUCAAGAUUCAUCUCUCAAAUUCAUAACCAACGUUAAAGAUCUCGUCUCCUUAAAAGCUUUCCUCUCUGUUUACUUGCUUGCUGAGUUUUUCAAUCUUUGAAUCUUUUUUUGUCCCUGAACAAUGCGGAGACUUUUGAUAUACGUUAUUUUUGGCUUAAUAACGUUUCUUGCUUUGAGAAUACGUAUUAUUUCCCUACCUUAAGGUUAAACUGGGAGCAUACUAGUGCUAACUUCCUAAUCAUUAAGCAGACAAAUAUGUAGCAAAACGUUAACAACUAAAUCUAGUGAGCAUGCUUAGAUCACAAAUAGUGUUUUACAAGUUGCGUCAUUGGAGACCACUUAGUGGCUACAAUCUUUGUGAUGGGUUUUGAGUAGACCAAUCCAUCAGACCAUGGACCUUUCUGAAAGCGAUAAUGGCAUAUUUUCAGAAUGGGCCUGCCCAUAAGUUUAAAGCCCUUGCAUUAUAACAGUAACAUUUUUGAUAUUUUGAUAUUUUGUUUGUUUAUUUGUUGUUGUACAUUAAAAAAUUUGUUACAAAAUAAAUGUCAUGUAGAAUUCUAAUAAAAAAAUUAUUUGACUUUGUUUUCUAUUUUAUUAUUUUAUUGGUUGAAAUAUAGUUAUGUGUAAAUGUAAUAAUGUUUUUAUUCAAAAUUAUAAAAUUAAAUAUUUUUUAAUAUAUACACAAAUCUAAAACGAUAUUUAGAAUGAAAUCAAAGAGACUUUAAUGCAUGUUUAAAUCGAAUGGUAUGCGUUUCCCUAGCUGAAUUUAUUUUUUGUCUUCUUAUUCUUCCAGUUGGAUGUUCCAGCUUUUUAUAUGCGUAAUAAUUAUACUUUCUUGUUCAUGUAAAUUUUAAACGGAUUUAAAACAAGAUUUUUCACGAUGCAUGCAAUGAUCAUAUGCAACGUGCAUCAAUCGAGCAGCCCACGACGUAUAUAUCGAAUUUCCAAUGAUCUAAUGGUUCUUUAGAUCGUAAACAAGAAAAUAAUUAUACCUAUUCAUAAUAUUGUAGUCCGUUAAAGGCUAUGGAGUUCUACAAGAUAAUAUAAAGAAUUAGUGGACAGUUAUUAUCCGUGUAUAGUAUACCAACUUGGCUAAACCCUCAAAAGAAUGUCAAACUUAAAAGAUAAUUUAAGGUAUGUAGCUUUCCACAUGCAAAUGUUCCUUCGUUUCAUCGUAAAGUAUAAUACAGUUUUAAAUUAAUCAAUCUUUUCUUAUGAAGAAGCAAGCCAAUGUUUGCAUGCUAAAUUGCUAAUUGACACCUUUAUUGAUGUUACACUCCGGUCAAAAGUAUUAACUAUUGUUCGGUUUUGUAUCCACCAUCUUUUAAUUCGCUCGCACACACGACUGUUUCUGUUUGUUAAAAACGCACACACAAUAGUGGAUGCAUUUGUGUUAAUGUAACUAAAUCAAACAAGAAAAGUUAUAAACCAAAAUUAAUCGAAAGCUAAAAAUCUCUACUACAGUGUUAGCUAAACGGCUAAACCUAGUAUAUAUUUUCAACUUUCCAAUUACUCGAAACUAAUAAACUGAUAUAGGUAAAAAAGACAUUAAUGAUGACAAACACUCAAAAUAACACUAGUUUAACUUAAACCAAAAUUGCUUAUCGCAAGUAUAACAAAAUUAAAUUAAACCAUCAAAUCUAUCAAUAUUGUUUUUUUUUUGCCAAAAUAUUUAGUGUUUAUCAUUGUAAUUUAUAAAUUAAUUUGAGUUUGAAUAUUUGUAAUUUGAAUCAUAAUAAUCUAUUCUCAAACGUUGAAAUCUUAAAAAUAACAGAUAAAUCUAAAGUUUUGUAUAUACAAAAUUAUCAACUGAUAAUUAAUACUCCAUAUUUUGAAUAAUAAGUAUAUUCUUGUCAAGUAUCUGUUAAAAAGAUUCACAUUUAAUUUUCUGGAGAUUAAUACCUUAGAUAUAUUCUCUACUAUAGAUGAUAUUGUGAUAACACUCGGUAAUUAAUUAAUUAAUUAAUUAAAGAAUGAGAUAUUUCUACAACCAAUAAAGACAAAUACCAUAGAAAACGGACAUCAAUAGACAAAAUAGAAAAGACUUUUGACAUUGAACGAGUCUUCAUCAACCACGUGUCAACUCUCACACAAAUACCUCGCACGUGCCGGAUCUGUUAUAAAAAUCAAAGCGAAGCUCUUCUCUUCGAGCCCAUCUCAGUUUUCAAACGCACCCCGAUCUCAAACCUCUCUCUCUUUCUCCUUCUCCAACUCUCAAUCAUGGUUGAACCGGCGAAUACCGUUGGAAUCCCACUGAACCACGCCGCGCUGCUGAGAGAUGAGCUCGACAUCGUGAUCCCGACGAUCCGCAACCUCGAUUUCCUCGAGAUGUGGAGGCCUUUUCUCCAGCCUUACCAUCUCAUCAUCGUCCAGGACGGAGAUCCUUCCAAGACCAUUGCUGUCCCCGAAGGGUUCGAUUACGAGCUCUACAACAGGAACGACAUUAACCGUAUCCUCGGUCCCAAAGCUUCGUGCAUCUCCUUCAAGGACUCUGCUUGUCGCUGCUUCGGUUACAUGGUCUCUAAGAAGAAGUACAUCUUCACCAUUGACGACGAUUGCUUCGUAAGUUUCCCACAAUUCUCAAAGUUUGCUCCUUUUUUUUUUCGCUCUGUUUUUUUUUGUCUGAAUCUAUUUAGAUCUGCUUUUAUGUUGUGUUUUUGUGUCUUUGCGAGAUCUUGUUACAGUGUCGGUUGGUUUAAAAGAUCUCAAACUGUUGACAUAACCCUGUUUUGACCUAGAUCUAUGUACUCAUUGUUCUCGAUCUGCUUUUUUUAUUCAGAGUUGCGAUUGUUUAGUUUGUGAGCGUUGAUUGUAAUAGUUCAUGAUCUCUUAUGUUUAGGUAAUUUUAGUGAUGACAUUGUUGUUCGGACCAAUCUGUCUAAGAUUCAUGCAUGUCAUUGUCCGAAAAGUCCAAAGUUUUAAUUCCCCUGAUUUAAGGAAUUGUGGGGGCUUGUCCAAGGAUUUGAAUUUGAUUGUAAUGAUCUCACAUGUUUAGGUAGUUUUUAGUGAUGAUGACAUUGUUGUUGGACCAAUCUAUCUAAUGUCAUAACAGUUAGGUUCUCAAGACUCUUGCAUGUCAUUGUCUGUCACACGUUUUUUUUUAAAUUACAAAGGCAAAGAAAAGUCCAAACUUUUAAUUCCUCUGUUUAAGGAUUUGUGAGGGGGGGCUUGUCCAAGAAUUUGAGUUUGCAGUUACGUCAUGAUUGUAGCAUGGAUGUUACUUUCAUGAUGUGUUGGUUUGAUCACGUGUAACGUGUUGUUCAUCAUGUUUUUUAUUUUAUUUCUGGCUUGAGAUAGAUUUGAAUAAUAUUUUCUUAAUUUUUUUUUUUUUGUUAUGUGUUGUAGGUUGCUAAGGAUCCAUCUGGAAAAGCUGUGAACGCACUUGAGCAACACAUCAAGAACCUUCUCUGCCCAUCGUCCCCACUUUUCUUCAACACCUUGUACGACCCAUACCGUGAAGGUGCUGACUUCGUCCGUGGAUACCCUUUCAGUCUCCGUGAGGGUGUCUCCACUGCUGUUUCCCACGGUCUCUGGCUCAACAUCCCUGAUUACGAUGCUCCAACCCAACUCGUUAAGCCUAAAGAAAGGAACACAAGGUAGUUAUUUAACAUCUUUUCUUUUCUACAUUUUUUUUUGAUAUUUUAAUUAGCUAACAAUAUGCUUAAAUGGGAUUAUUGUGAAGGUAUGUGGAUGCUGUCAUGACCAUCCCAAAGGGAACACUUUUCCCAAUGUGUGGCAUGAACUUGGCCUUUGACCGUGACCUCAUUGGUCCGGCUAUGUACUUCGGUCUCAUGGGUGAUGGUCAGCCUAUUGGUCGCUACGACGAUAUGUGGGCUGGAUGGUGUGUCAAGGUACUUUACUUUCCCUUUCUCCUACUUAAGUUUUUGGACUAUAUUUGAAUACUUACCGGUUUCUUAUGGGUCUGUUCUUUAGGUGAUCUGUGACCAUUUGGGAUUGGGAGUGAAGACGGGUCUGCCAUACAUCUACCACAGCAAGGCGAGCAACCCAUUUGUGAACCUGAAGAAGGAGUACAAGGGAAUUUUCUGGCAGGAGGAUAUCAUUCCUUUCUUCCAGAGUGCAAAGCUCUCCAAAGAAGCUGUGACGGUUCAACAGUGCUACAUUGAGCUGUCCAAGAUGGUGAAGGAGAAGCUUAGCGCUAUUGAUCCUUACUUUGACAAGCUUGCUGAUGCUAUGGUGACCUGGAUUGAAGCUUGGGAUGAGCUUAACCCGGCCACUAAAGCUUGAGCAGUUUAAACACCACCACUGCAGUUUUGGUUAUUAGCUUAACCUAUCAUCUAUCUUCCUUCCUUCCCCGUUUUGUUUUUUUUUUCUCGUUUCCUGGCGAUUAUUCAGUUGGUUUUUAAGUCGCCGGAGUUUAUUUAAAUAGUGAUGGUGUAGUUCUAUUUAAGAUGGAGACAGUCUAUACUCUGAGCUUUUUGUGUUUUGUUUCAAUAAUAAAAUCAUCUUUGAUGCUAUAUAGUCUUUGUUAUCUUUACUUCCUGGUUUGUUGACAUGUUAGUUUGGUAGCCAAACAAAGCCUUAAAUGAUGUUUGACUGAGUUGAGCCCACUUGUAAAAGAGAUGAUGAACAAGGUAACCAUUUCGUGUCAGCAAAUGAUUUUUGAUUUGGGCCUACGUCGCUUGAGUUGUUCAAAAUGUGAAAUUCUUCUAGUUGUUUUGCGCUUCUAGUUGUCCAUGUGAAUCGUGAAGAUCUAGUCUUGGAUUACUGGUCUGUUUGUCCAUAAAAAGGAUUAUUGGUUACUCUUCAAUCAUGCUACAAUUUUAGUAACCAAGAUUUUAUGAUUUUGUCCAAUGAAUAGAUGUUCAAGAGUCAAGACCCCUAGAACAUUUUUUUACUUUUUUACCAUUUUAUUCUUCCUUAUUUUACUCAUCUGAUAUUACAAGUCUAAAUGGUUUUGGGGCGCUGAUAACACAUUUUAUAAAGCGCAUCGGUUAAGAUUGAUUUACAGGAUAUUCCAUGGUCGGUCUCGAGAUAUUGUGGACGAUAGACAAUAGAGUAAGAGUUUAUAUAAUUUUUUUUUCAACUUUAGAGGCUUUAUAUAUGUAAGUUUUUGAAAAAUUUGAAGGCUAUAGGUCAAUAUAUCACCAGUCUAUGCUCAUGAUCGGCCCUGCUAAAAUUAAAGGAUCGAUCUAAUGGGUAUAUAUGGAUUAUACUGGACAACAGAAACAUAAUCUCAUUAACUUUGUUAGAUAAAUGAACAGAAAGUUAGAUUAUUAUGUACACUCUGUGUACUUAAGACUGUCAAUCUCAUGUUUAUGCAAGUUCUUUAAAUGUUUGUAAAGUUUGAUCAGGUUUGUUUAUUCGUAUUGAUACUUGAUCAUCACUUGAAUGUACAAGAAAAGGUUCAAGUUAGUUGACAUGCGAGUUUUUUAUGUCAUCUUGAAUGAUGAUGACAUAAACUAGUAACAGAUACUAACACUAAUUUAACAACUAUUUUUGAAAAGAUAACCUUAAUAACAUGGAUUUUCUUAUUUUUAGGUGGCAUCCACACCCACAACAAGGCCACAAGGAUUGAAUUGGAGGACCCGCCCUCCUGUCUCAAAAAGAAUAUAUCAAAUUCGACGUAAAGAUAUUAACAAUAUAGUAUACUUUUUGGUACAAGUUUAGUUAAAUAGAGUACAAACUAAGUAUUUUCAGUAAACCCACGGUUAAAAAGAUUUUUGGAACUACAAAAGGAGAUACUUUAUUUAGAAACCCUAAGCACUAAACAAAGAUUUAAUAUUAACUUAAACUCCAAUGUCACUUUUGGGCACUUAAACUCAUGAAAACUUCCCCAUGCCAUGCCUUCUUGAUUUCUUCAAGAGAAAUCUUUGUCUUUAUAAUUUAUUCUCCAUGUCGGUACCGACUUUCUUGAUUUACUAUUUUAAGUUCUUUAGUUUCGAUUCUCCCAUUAGAAACAGGGAUGCUCUCAAUAAAAUUACAAUAUUAUCCAUUUUUAUACAAAAUGCUUAAUACUUUCAUUCAGCUGUGAUAUAUAUAUAUAUAUAUAUAUAUAUAUCACAGCUGAAUGAAAGUAUUAUGAUCUAAAUGGUUUUAUCAGAUAGCUUGUUUGUAAGAGAUGGCAAAACCAAUUGUUGAUUAUUUUUUUAUCUUCUGCUUUCAGACUUUUUUUGUUUGACCAAUUUCUGAAUGUUGUUGCUGCCUGGAAUGAUUUUAUUUUAUUUUAUAGCAUUAUUUCUUGCUGGCAUAAACAGUUACCGAUGAGAAGUGGCUUUUUGUCUUGCCUAUGGAAUUGUCGGAAAACCCUAGCUUCCACUUUUUCUGAUUUCAGCAAAAUUAUAUAAUAGAUAACCCUUAUAUAUAAAUGUGCUUCAUUCACAUCAACUACAAUCAUAAUCGCUUCGUUAAUGAUAAAGGCAAACGAGAUGAAGAACACAAACACAAAGUUAAUCACCCUCGUUAUAGGGUUUCUCGUCCUCGUGAUGAUAAUUCAUCUUCCUCAUGCGCUUCAAGGUUUGUACAAAGACCAAUGGAUCUUUUACUUUUCUCCUCUUAUUUUUUUGUUUACUUCUGUUAAUUAUAUCUUAUGUGUACUAUGUGUGUGUGUCUCCUCUUUACAUAUAUCUUUAGGUCCCUUAGAUAUAUAUAUGUUUUCUCUUCCUCAUGAUGGGGAUGAUGUAUGUACGUAUCAUGUAAUGUGUAUGUCUGGUUCCCUUCCUUAUGACGGUAAUGAUCUAUAUAUAGGUGUGUGUGUGUGUGUGCAUGUUGUUGUUGAUGUCUAAAUAUAUAGUGAUACAUGCGUUUUGUCUCACUAUCGUAUGACCGUGUAAAAAAUGUGAAAGCUGAUGUUGUCUUUUGAGAACUUACAGGUGGAAACAUAGAUGUAGGUGGAUCCAAAUAUGAAGACUAUGGUCUUAUGCUAAGAGGAAGUGAGCCUCUCUUGAUGGGACGAAAGGUACACACACAAGUUAAAGUUUGAAUCAAAGCCUUGAUUUAAUGUCUAAUAUAUAUGUUUUCUUAUAUAUUAGCAUUUUUCUUAUAUAUAUAUAUAUAAUCCGUUUUUGUUGUAUACAUGUUUUGUGGCAGUUAAAAGGUCUAAAUCCUAUGGAGUCUGGAACAAAGAAAAGAUCAACAAAAGCCUCGAGAGAUUCAACAAAAGAAAUUGAUAAUCUAAUGAGAAGCGACUAUCCGUCACGUAUGAAAGGAAGGAAGAGGACUCCAAUACAUAACUGAUAGCAUAUGGUCAUUAAAUAGUUUAAGAAACGUAGAAGUUCACUAUAUUAGAAGAAAUGUUAAUCAGGGCUAUAUAUAAAACAUAUGUUUAGACUUUUUUUUUGGGUGUAAGUUUAGACUUUUUCUUACUUUUUUUUGGGUGUAAGUUUAGACUCUUCUUACUUUUGUUUUUGUUUUUUAAGCUUCAAACAAUGUCUUCUUAAUUUAGACUCAUAUAUUAGAAACUGUAACCUUCAUUUUGUACAAUGCAUAAUGAGUGACUUCUACGAUUCAUCUCUUUACUAAGUGGAUCAAGCUGCUGUUUGCUUAUGAUAACGAAAAUCAACGAAACCUCAGAGAAUUUUGUGUACGUCAAAUCCUUUGGAUUCUCUCAAAACAGUGAACCGAUAUCAAUAGCUAUUUUUUAAAGGCAAGAAGACGGGUUUUAGACAAUAUGUGUGUAUCUUAAGCUUGUUUUGUGGAUUCAAAGACUACUAUCAAGAUUCGAGGAUGCCAACCCAACCCGAAAAGAAUAUCAUCCAGAGAAUAUCUUAAUCAUUUAGUGUUUUAUUUAUUAUUUGAAUAAUUAUUCACAAAUUCUAGUUUUGGGUAUUCUUAUAAUCAACGGAUAUACUUCUAUCCUUCAGUCUUCCAACGGCUAUGUCGAUUUCUGAAUAGAAAGUGAUUGAUGAGACAUGAAGAAGAUACACGACAAAAGCCUCCAUCGGGGACCAAAUGAGAAGCGCAUAUUCGAAUUCUAUAACAAGGAUAGUUUUAUUGUAUAUAUAUUUGGUGGCAAUCUAUUUAUACAAGCCACAUUUAAAGACUCAAUGGUUGCAAAUAAAAUUAUAAAAAAAUGUUAACUCCAUUAUUCACCUAUCUAUGUUUUGCAUCACCCUGCCAAAGAAUCCACAAAGACGACAUGAUGGAUCAGGUCCAGAGCCAUGCCAAGGCUUUUGGAUACCCUAAGCAAAAUAAAAAUAAUAUAUUUUAUUAAUAAUAUUAUAUUAUGACAAACUAGUAUAUAAAUAAUCAUUUUUUUCUUCAAAAAAACAAAGUUUUGAUAGAAAAUACAAAAAUGUUUUAUUAUCAUUUUAUGUUUAGUUAAUAAAUAUAAAACUGAAACAUACAAUUGGUCUUUUACUUACAUAGUUUCUUGUAAAUUUGCAAACUGUAGAAAAUAAAAGUGGAAACAUCUAAGUUGUAGUUGUAGAAAAUAAGUUGUAGUUGUAGAAAAUAAAAAGCAAUACAAAUUUAUAUAAAGCCGAAGAAGAAAAAAUUUAAAAUGGUAAAAAGUGAUUAUAGAAACAUCUAAGUUGUAGUUGUAGAAAAUAAGUGUUAUUAAUUGAUAUCUGUAAUAAUCCAGUUGAGAAGCAAUAAAAAAGUUUGUUUAUGUAUGUAUAAAAUAAAUAUAUAUAUAUAUAUAUAUAUCACAAGUUUGCUGGUAUUAUGCAAUGCUGGUUUUAAGUUUUUUGAGCACACAUAGUCUAUAAACUAGAGCAUAAUUGAUUCCUAUGUAUACUCUUUUUUCUUAGGAAUUCUAUUCAUUUGUAAAUGCUUAUUUUUUCACUUCUGAUCAAUAAAUAUCAUAUUUCAUCAAAAAUAUAAAAAUAAAUAUAGACCAUAUAGUUCUUUGUAAAAGUUAUUUAACAGAAGCGAAUGCUUCAAAUAUUCUUCAGUAGGCACGACUCUGAUAAGACCAUAUGAUGUUUUCUAGUGAAUUGCCAUUAUUGUCGUGUAACAGCUGAAAUAAAAUACAUAGAAAACUAAUUAUAAAAUAUCAGAAUUCCUAGAAAACCUAAAAUAAAAUAUUAAAAUAUGAAAAUAUAUUUUUAAUACAAACAAUUAAGUAAUAGAUAAAACAUGACUUCUAAAUUGAUUUAAAAACCAUAAUAUUAAAAAUGAAAUUAUUUGUUAAAUUGACCCUUAAAUUCAAUUCAUUAAUAGCAUUUAUACAACUAGAUUUGUCAAAAUUAAUGUGAGUAUAACACAUGAAAGAUACUUUUAAAUAAGGAAAAAUGUCAGAAAAAUACAUCAACUAAAUUUUGUUGAGCUUUCUAGUACUCUAAUUUUUUUUGCUAUUUCAUUUGAUAUUUCAAUUAAUUAUUUAUUCAUUUUAAUACACUAUUUUAUAGAUUAUGUUCACAUUGAUACUCAAACUAUGCUAAUUUUAAACAAAAAUAUUAAAAAGUUGCAAACAAAAAAUUCAAAAUAAAUCUUAAAAUUAUCUAAUUUAUUUUUAUAUUUUAGGAAUAAAAGAAACUGAACUGUGGAUAACCUUAAACUUUUUAAUUUUCGUUUUAUUUAUAAUAUCAAAUUUAGUUUGUUUUAUGAAACCUAAAUCUAAUUCAUACUUUUUACUUUUUAAUGAAUAGAACAAACACAACAAUAAUAAAAUUAAAUAACGAGAUUUUGAUACACUAUUAUAAAACCAAAAACUACUUAUGAUAUUUAUUAGGUCUGAAGAUAAUAAUUUAAAAUUAUUAGGUUAUAUUUCUAUAUUUUAAUUGUGAUGUUUUUUAGUUUAAUUAUGAGGAAAUUUUGGCUUAGUGGUCUGAUUUAUUUAUGUUUUAUAAACUGUAUUUUCUCAAACCAAACCGAAUACAAACCAAAUCAAAGUAAUUUUAAUUGACUUCAACUAAAAUAUUCAUAAAACUAAACAAACCAAACUGAACUAUAUAUUUCCUAUUUAAGUGUGACAAUCUAGUUUUAUUCUUACGGUUAAAUGUAAAUUAAUUCCAAUAUAAAAUGAUUGCAAGAAAAAUGAAAUAGAAAACUUAUUUAUUUUCUAAAAUGAUUAUAAUUAAUAAUUAUAAUGAUCUGUAACAUAAUUAUACACUGCACUUUUAAAUUUUUAUUCUCAAGCUACCAGAACUGCAAGAUGAUGAUGAUGAUGCCAAAGGAUAGAUUUGCAAACAUUACAAUGAACGCUCCAACCUAUCUUCUCAUCCAAGGAAGCUCUUCAGAAGUCCCUGUACACCAAAGAACCCUAACUGAGAUUGAUAUACAGUCCCCGUAGAUAACUCCAUUAUUCACUCAUCCAUGUGCUGCAUCACCCUGCCAAAUUUAAUGUAGGAAAAUGGUGGUGGCUCUGAUCAUUUGGUUUCAUCUAGUGAAUUGCCAUUUUCAUUCUCAUGUAACAGCUGAAGACAUUCGUAUGGAUUUGCAUAGAAGUAAUCUUCUUCUUUCGGUUUAUUCGGAAUCACAAGCCGCUUCUUGGGACCUCCCAUUCUUGUAGCGUGAAAGCUCUUCACCGUGGUCGAAAACACUUCCCAGCUCAACAGUCCUUGGUAGUAUUCAUCUAUUAGAUUAACCAAGAACUUCCUGUUUAGCUCAAUAGUUUUCUUGAACCCCAAGAACCUGCAUGUUGAUUAAGUUCAUAACCAACUGAUGAAAAGAAACAUUACAUUUUUUUUUUAGCAAUAAUAAUGAUUCACCUGCGAUGACCUUCCACGACUUUAGCCAUGUUCCCAUAAUAAGUAGGAACGAAUAUAUCACUUUCGAGAGAGAUGAGGUAAUCAAGAGCAGCCAUUUGAGAUGAAUGGUUCUGACAGAAACUCAAAUCAGAGGAAUCAAGCAGAGUUUCUUUCCUCACCUGGUUUCAUCAUCAAAGAUCAUCAUCAGUUACUGACACUAUGAGUGAAUCUUUCAGACAAUAAGCUACUAACCACAUUGGGAAAGACAUCUGUUAAAGCCUUCAACCGUCUUUUACCACCGUAGAUCUCUCCAGCAGCUAUGUAAAUCUGAACAUUACGGUCAAUGCCUAAGGCGGAUAGAGUCAGAGCUGUUUCUUCUGGAGUCAAUGGGCAAAGACCUUCUUUCCUCUUCAACUCUGAGUUUAUUACUUUCUCCUUCCACCAUGGAUAAGCAUAUCUAACCAAUGAAAAACAUAAUGAUAAAUAAACAUCAAUAUCAUAACAAACUUUUAACACUAAAGAUGAAAUGUUUUUGUUUUAACCUCAUUCGAGUGAGCUCUUCCUCUUCGUAGCGGUUGCAACCAUGAGAGCAGCCAGAGAAUGCCAACAUAUCCAUUUCGUAUCUGAGAUGCAGAACCAGAAAGGGACCUUUCUCCCUCAGAAUCUUGACUACUCUUCUACCUAGUUCCUCAAUCUUUGGAGUAAACCUGAGCCCGUUGAAGUUUACUCUGCAUCUCAGCUUCUGAACCUCAACAGGAAGUUCGUUAUUCACAAGUCGAGUAUCUGUCUUGUUCAAAUGUAAGACCUUAUGCUUCUUCACCAAGGGAAGAAUCUGUUUUCAAGAAAAGGUUUGAGAAACCAUUCAAGUAUAAUGGAGAGACUAUGGAGUAACCGCGAGAGAAAGAACCUGGUCUUGGUAGUAGGACAUGUUGGACCAGCUGAUAGGAGGCAUGGUGUGGUACACACCGAGCUCGACCCUUCUCUUAAGCCUUGGAGGAACCUCUUUGAGUAUACGAACCUCAUCUCUCAAAGAAGUUAUGAAGUGAUCCACGUCGAAUAUGUCUUUGAACUCACUGCUCACAUAAGAACACCCAUCAACAACUUUCAAGAGAAGUAAAAGAAGCUCUGACUGAGUGAGAUGGAUGGGGACUAAUAAUAAUAAUAAUAAUAAUACCUAGGAUCAUUCCAAAAAGAGGUCUUGUCAAGCUCUGGGACAAUAAGUGUGACAUUCAUGUAUCUUGCAAUAGUCACCAUAUCACAUAUCUGAAGAUACAAAAAAAAAAAACAGAAUCCUAAGUCUUAUGGUAAGGAUUAUUUGACAAGGCAAAAAGAUUGGUUAUGAUGUUUUUACCGCAGCUCGCAUUUGGUUGAGUCCUCCAUUGCAAGAAACCAUAAGAUAGCCAUUGUUCUGAUAUAUCCCUAAGUCAAAACAAAGAGCACAAAAAUGAAUUAAAAAAAAUCUAAAAACAUCACAAUACACAAAACUACAUAACUACGCUUACUUUUGGGAGGGAGGGCUAGUUUCAUGGGAAGAGAAGACAUCUCUUGUGCAGCAGCCAUUGGGAAGUCAUGUCCGUGAUUGAAACAAGAAGGCCAACCCUUCAAUAAUCUUGGUCCCCACAUCUCACCCAAAGCAACCAAAUGAACGAAACAACUCCAUAGCAAGAGUAUGGUCAUAGCACGGAUCAUCCAUAGGCUCAUACGAGACCUUGAAACAAGGGAGUUCUUGAACUUGCUGUCUCCUAGAAACUUAACCUUCAUCUCCCAGAGCUUCUUGUGGUAAAUAGACUUCUCUGAUUUACACAUUUCUAUAAUGCACUAUACCUUCCUCACUGGUGGAAUUUCAUCAAACAGAUUCUUAUUCAAAGACUAAUCUGAACUUAUUACACUCUCACUAUGAGCUUACAAGCAAGAACCCAGAUCUCAAUUUCGAUUGUAGAGCUGGAAGCUAGCUCUCCAAGUUACGAGGAAGCUCUGUAAUGGCGAUCUUUGGAGCUGAAAGUAAGUAAGAAGCGAUCAAAAGGUGGAGACUUUUGAGUUGGGUGGAGAGAGAAUGCGACGAGAUUGUUUCUUCGAGCAGAUCCGGUCGGUGAUCACCAAAGAACAGGGAAACUGAAUCGAAGCUCGUCAGACAGAGAGAUUCGGAAGAAAGAAGAAUAAGAAGAAGAUUAGGACAAGAAUGUGCGAAAAGAUGAACACUUUCUCUAUAACAAAUGAACUGUCUUUUUUUUUGUCGGUUGUCUUUUUUUUUACACUUUCUCUAUAACAAAUGAACUGUCUUUUUUUUUGUCGGUUGUUUUUUUUUUUUUUUUUGGUUUGUGACCGUUUUGUUAACCUGUUCUGUGAUAGACAGUUGCAUCCAUUGUUAUAUAGCUUCAUCACAAAGAUAUAUAUACUAUAAAUUAAAAGGAAUAAAAUAAAAUGAAAAAUCUUCAAAUAAUCUUUCUCCUUUUUCUUGCUAAUAAAUUGCUUAGUUUCAAUUAAUUUAAGUAGAUUAUGUAUAAAACGAUAAAAUGCUAAAAAAACAUUUUGAAAAAAGGCUGAUAAAAUACUACAUUGAUUUGAUAUUUCUCUUAGAAGUUUUUAUUUUAUAUUGCAAAAUUGGUGUAAGUAAAUUCGGCCAGACGUGAAUAUUCGUAUGAUGGUUUAGGUGAUGUAGUUAGGCUAGAUCUUCAUAAAACAUGUAGUAUUGUCGGUUGUCAAAUCGUCUAUAUAAUCUUUCUCGUAAUUGUAAUAUAAUAAUAAAUCAGUAUUAAAUAAAUUAAGUCAUCAGAAACUUCAUGUUAUGCUAACACAUAAAAUGUUAAUCGAUGUUUAUGUGGUAAAUUUUUUUUUGUAAAAUCUGUUUCUCCUCUAAUUGUAAUUUUGCAUGAAUACAUGGUAAAACAAAUGAAUAGAUUUUAAUAACCAGUCUAGUAAUUUCAACCAUGCUACGAUCUUAAUUCAACUUUACGUGAAUACACUGAUACGUAAGUGUAUGCCGUAAUAAAACGGUAUCUCUUAAUUUUAAAAGUAAAUAGCCAAUAACGAUGUUACGUACCAACCUUUCUGGUUCUUACAAGUUACAUAUGGUUGAAACGAGUCAACCUUUGAAGUUUGUUUGGCCAAAUCAUUAAUCAAUUAUAUUUUAAUCACCAAAUUCAUUAUUUUUAUUUAUUAGGGUCCAGUAACAAACUUUCUAUUCCACAUCAUCAGGUCUUUUUGUCUCCACCCAACUCCUUCAUCAACUAAAAUCAAUGUAGUAGUUGUAGUUCUAAAACUCAACUAAUAUUUGGUACACGCAAAACAGAAGAAAAAAACUAAUAGAUUCAAUAAUGAAAGGUUUUUCUGUUCAUUACUUUAUCUUGAUUAGUUAUUACUAAUGAGUGACGACCACCACAUUCGUAAACAUACAAGUUUUUUUUUCGAAAUAAGAGAACCAUAAGAAACCAAAUGUGGUGGUCGUCACUCAUUAGUCAUAAGUGAUAAUAUGUUUUUAAUUGAAUAACCUUUAGUACAAAGUAUCACUAUGUUAUGUAAAAACAGUAUAUAUACUGUGUAUAUAUAACAUAGUGAUACUUUGUACUAAAGGUUAUUCAAUUAAAACACAUUAUCACUUAUGACUUGUAGAAAGCAGUAGAAAAUGAACAUACGUUUUAGAAACUUUUAUGAAUAGAUAUAGGAGAGGAGAUAGAUGGUGCGAAAUUGAUGCUGAAGGUACGGUUCCAGUGUGGUCUCGGAACUGCAGGCUACAAUAGUGCCAUAUUCUUCCAGGUUUUGUCAGAACGAUAAUGAAUAAUCAUGAAAGUAAUUUCACCUUGUUUCAGAUGCUAAGUCUUACUGGAAUAUAUAUAUACAUAACCGGUUUGCCUCACUGGACUCAGGGUUAUCAACUUAUGUUUUAGAUGGGUCUCUGCAAAAUGUGAAUAUGAUCACACUCAUGCAUAUAUAUGUGGAUACCAAAUAGUUAUACUUCACGUGACUAUACUUUACAGUAUAUGUUUUAGCAGACUUCCUAUUGUGGAAAAACAAGAAAUAGAAACAUCAAGUAAUUUUAAAACAUAGUUUAUGUGAGAAUUGAGAAAAUUCGCCAAUAAUAGAUAAAGGACAAAGGCCCGUGACCAGGAGAGUUGCUUGCUUUGUUUUUAUUUUACUAUUUUCUAAGUUACAAUUAUAUAAACGUCACAUGAGUGCACACACACAUAUAUAUAUAUAUAUAUAUAUAUAUACAGACAUUUCCCCUAUAUAAUAUCUCAAUAUACUUUUUUUGUUAGUGAAAAAAGAAUAUGCCGUAUAUAAAUAUUAAUUUAAUUUCUUUCUUAAAUACAUAAAGUACAAAUUAAUUUUAAUUUUGAUGUUGUCGACUGACAAUGAUUUUGUCUUCGUGAGUGAUAACAAAUUUAUGAUGGAUUAGUUUGUGGUUAGAGGUAUAGCAAAGGCUUUUAAUAUGAAAGACACUCGCCAAUGAAACUGAUAUUUGAGGUCUCAUCAUAUAUAGUAUUGCGAUGCAUGAAAGGUUCUAUUACUUGAAUGAAUUUAAGUGUUGAUUCCAAAAAUUAUGAUCACCGCACCGAAAAUUAAGAAACUAAAUAAAUGCAAGCCAUUUUCUGUUGUGUUUGUGAUUGACCAACUAUUUUGUGUGGUAACAGUUUGUGUUUGACCAUUUAAAAUUUGGAGAAAGGAAGAAAAUACUAUAAUAAAUUUUAUUGUUGGGGAUGCUAAUCUAUUAAAUAAAGGAAAAGCAAUUCUCAAAUAAUAUAGGUAGAAAAAGGACGAGGUUUUAAAGUUUAUCAGGAAUAUAAGUUUGAAGCCAGGAGGCUUUCUCUCUCCUCUCUGUUCUCUCCUUCAUACUUUUCACAGAGACGGAUGAUUGAGAAAGCGAAGAUGAAUGGUCUCUCUCUCUUUUUUCCUUUAUCCUUCAGAAAAAGAGAGGCUCCGUCAAGCUGGUCGGAUUUGUUACCGGCGCUUGACUCCCGAUGGUCGGGCUAUGACUCUGGCAAGUGGUGGCUCUUAAAGCACUAUCUUGGCCGGCUUCCGUCUCCGGCAAGCGGUGGUUCCCAUUAACACCGUAUUUUCCGGCUUUUAUUUUGAGAUUCAUCUCUCAUCUCCGAUGGAUUUCAAAUCUGUUUUAUACAGUUUUCUUCUUGUGUUUUUUUAAUCUUUCUUUGUUUCUGUUCAUCGUUUCUUAGUUUCCUUCGAUUCGAUUUUGCUAAGGGUGGUUUUUGAUUACUGUGAUCUUUUCCCAUUCAUUUGGGUGGCCCCAUCUUCAAGCUAAACUUUAUCUUUAAAGAUGGUUUUUAAAAAUUGUUAGAUCUUCAGUUUUCUUUGUUCUAAAUGGACCUUAGUUAGAUCGAUUUGAUUUCUUUGAAACGGUGUAGUGGUUUAUGGCUACUGAUUUCGAGCUUCUCAGUUGCUUAGCUGUUCUAUUCCUGAGCUUCCUGUUCCGGUACGUUCCGGUGAAUCUCCGGUUAGAAAUUCCGGCUUCGACUUGAAAAUCGGUGAAGAAAGGGUUGUCUCUGCUCUUCCGCCACGCGUCCAUCUACCGCACGCGUCUGAUGCGUUGGCUGUGAGCUGUCUCGUUGACUGCUGAGCCUCUUUCUUUCUAUGGGCCUUUAUGUUAGUUGGGCUUGCGGUUUGCCCUAGUUGUUAGUUAGUUAGUUUGGCCUUUCUGUUUGGGCCUUUAUCUUUUAUAUUCUUGUACUUUGUUGGCCUUUUGGCUUUUAAUAAAACGAGAUGGCAAAAAAAAAAAUAUAGGUAGAAAAAGGACAUUACCAAUUAAUAUCCCCACGAGCAUAAAGAAAGUUUCGUCGGUGCCUCUAUGCCUUAAUCAUGACGUGCCAUUCUCUGUAAAGUUACUUCUUAUGGGUAUGAGUAUUUUAUUUUGCUUUGGGCGUCAGUUGAUGACGGGCCGGGCCUGAUUAAGUACUUAGCUUUUUUUUUUUUCUUUUUGUCAAAACUCAAAAGGCAUCAAAAACCCAAUUUUUUUAAAAAAGUUUUAAAAUUGCUUAGACUGCAACACAUGUUUCAGAAAAAAGGGGUGAUAUGUCACAAGAAGAUUACACCACCCUGUCCUUUGUUCCAGUGCAUCGACCAAUCACUAGGUCAGUAACUUCAUUGCCUCUUCUUGACUCUUCUUUUGCUUUGGAGAUUUUAAUUCUUGAUUUACCUGGAUGAUCGGAUAUUUGGAACCUCUAAGAACUUCCCAAGGAGUUCUAAGAGCUUGUGGAGGCUAAAAUCCCUGUGAAAUGUCUAUAUGAAGACUCCUUUUUAGAGAUUCAAUGUUUCCUACCUCUUGGGAGAUCAAUUUACAUAUAGUUGUCAGACAACCCCGAACAGUUAAGUAUAGAAGUGCAUCUUUUGUUUGUGUCUCGAUCAUUUUAAAAGAGCAGUUCCAAAAUAUUCUGCGCUGCUUUCACCAGCUGCAAGCCUAAUAGAUUUCUGACCUAAUAGAUUGAGAACAUGCAUUCCUAUCUCUGGGUUACUUUUAGCUAACACCUCUAACUGACUGAGAGGCUUUGUAUUUUUUUCACUAUUUACUUUCAAAAAAUCAGAAAAUAUUCAUAAAAAAACUCGCAUUAGAUAUUUGAUUCCAGAUUAAUACUAAAACCUUACAAAAUUACAAAGCAUUACAUUAUAACCCUAAAAGCGAGCUUUGUUCGUGUCAUCUCUUUUCAUCGUCUCAUCUCAGCUCCCUUUUGCAAUCGUGUUCCGGUGAUUGAAGAAUAUUCGCUUGCGGCGGCGAUGGGAGAAAAGCAGAGGAAGCUGCUCGUGCUGUACGCUUCUCAGACCGGAAACGCUCUCGAUGCGGCAGAGCGUAUUGGCCGCGAAGCUGAACGCCGAGGCUGCCCUGCCUCUAUCGCCUCCACCGACGAAUUCGACCCUGUAUGUGAGAGAUGUUGUUGUGAAUUGAACAUAGCUUCUUACUCUGUUCUGAAGAUUGUUUGCUUACUAUGAAGAGGAAACCGUUACAAUUCCUCUGUUUGAUUGUAAUCAGCUCUUAGAUUUGAGUGCUUCUGUUGAUUAAAUUUCGAGUUAACAUAGAAAAGUGUGUUCCUUUAUAACUUAAAAUUCUUAUUGAAAGUUGCCUUUUUUUUUAUUUGGCUGCAGAGUUCCUUACCUCAUGAGGAGUCUGUUGUUUUUGUUGUAUCCACUACAGGGCAAGGAGACUCUCCUGAUUCUUUUAAGGUUCGUUGUCAAGUUUUCACUACCAAUAAUGCAGUUUUUAGUUUAUUGUCUACCUUAUUGUUUGUUCCUUGUAUUGUCUUUUUUCUUUUAAAUCACUGAAGGAGUUUUGGAGGUUUCUUCUUCAAAGAAACUUGGGAAACUCUUGGUUGCAAGGAGUUCGCUUUGCAGUGUUUGGGCUUGGUGAUUCUGGUUACCAGAAGUAUAAUGUAAGUGCAUCUGCCACUUUAUAUAAAUCCGUUUCACAUUCUUCUCAGCAUACAUUUUAUUUCUGGUUCUGUUUUGUUGUAUUAUUUUUCCCCUGCCACAAAUUUUCAUGACACGACAUUAUUUUCCUCUGACGGCUUUAGUUUGUAGCAAAGAAGCUAGACAAAAGGUUACUAGAUCUUGGGGCCACAACCAUCAUUGAGAAAGGUCUGGGAGAUGAUCAACACCCAUCAGGGUAUGGAACUGUAUAUUAUUUAGGAAAAUAAUUAUAUCUUCUCUUUUAUUAUUCUUGAUAGCAAAUGAACCAUUUUUGAUCAGUCGAAAAUAUAAUCUCCACGUUCUUGAUGUUGCUUGUUUAGUACUAUAAUGUCAACUGUCAAGUGAUUGAAUACUAAAUUUUCACUUUUUGUGUUCUCUUUAAUUUUCAGGUAUGAAGCAACUCUUGAUCCGUGGAUGCUGUCUUUGUGGAGUAUGUUAUAUAAGAUCAAUCCCAAAUACUUUCCUAAAGGUCCAGAUGUGAUGAUUCCUCAUGAUGAAUUAACUGAUCAGCCCAAAUAUAGGAUUUUAUAUCAUAAGCAGGAGACACUGGAGUCUGAAUUGAUGGCAGAGUCAGGUAGGUAUACCAAAGUUUUACCCCCAUCAUGUUUUUAAGAAAAUAGUGUGGAUACUUUGCUCCAUCAUGUUAGCUUAGGACUAUGUUAUGCUACUUAACAGUGAACUUUCUGUCUAGUUAAUAAUGGUAAUUGCUAGAAAUGACUUUUAAUGUUCUGGUUCAGUUGGCUCGUGAAAAGAAAUUUCUCUUGCAUAAUAUGCCUCUUAUGUUUUAGCAGACAUGAUAGAAAGAGCCCGUGGAAUGUCACCCGGAAAAUUAUCCAAGGACAAAACUAAACCAGACUGCUUUCUCAAGAUGGUACUAUGCACAUCCAUUAUAAUUUCUUUUGAUUUAUGUUAUAUAUGCUAUGCAACCUCGCUAGUUAUGCUAUUUCUAUGCUGUGUUACCUUGAAUCUGGUGGAUUUGAUGUUGCUUCUUGGUCAAUAUGUUUUCUUUAAAUAUCUUAUUUUCUGGUAAGCCUGGAUGAUAUGAAUUAUAUUCCCAAUCAUGCAGACUAAAAAUGAAGUCUUGACGAAAGCUGGAAGUACAAAGGAUGUCCGCCACUUCGAGUUCCAAUUUGUUUCUUCUGUAAGUAACUUUGCUAUCACUUACUAAGUAGUUUCAAUCCAUUUCUCCUCUUUUAUGAAGUGGUUGUUCAAUUAAUUUCUCCUCUUUAUUUUUUUUAAUUCAUUUAAGAGUAUCAAAUAUGAAGUGGGCGAUGUUGUUGAGCUUCUUCCAAGCCAAGAUUCUUCAGCAAUAGAUGCGUUUAUAAAACGCUGUCAUUUGGACCCGGAAUCAUUCAUCACAGUAAGUAGCUCCACUCUGUUGACAUAAUGAUCCCAGAUUGUCUAACUGAAGUAAAUUUUGAGAACUAAUUUACUUUCAGGUUUGUCCGAGAGAGACAGAGAAUAAUGGUUCAUGUGGAGAAGUAAUUACACAUGUCCCUAUUAAGCUUAAGACUUUUGUUGAAUUAACAAUGGACGUUACAUCUGCUUCACCUCGACGAUACUUCUUCGAGGUAAGAGCCCUUGAAUAUCAAAUAUUUUAAUGUCAUUUUCAUUGAGUUUAUGUGUCAAACAAGUAUUUGAUGGAAGUCCUUUACAAUGUAUCAUCUCUGUUCAGGUUAUGAGCUUCUAUACAGUAGAUGAACGUGAGAAGGAAAGACUGCAAUACUUUGCCUCAGCCGAGGGACGUGAUGACCUCUACAAUUACAAUCAGAAGGAAAGAAAAAGCGUCCUUGAGGUAACCAAUUAGGGACACCAUGAUUCGUCUUGAACAUGCAUCGACUCUCUUAACCAAAUAGAUCUUAUUGCUACUGCCUAUGUAGGUGCUAGUGGAUUUCCCUUCCGUGCAGAUGCCUUUUGAGUGGCUGGUUCAGUUAGUACCAUCGCUAAAACCAAGAGCUUUUUCGAUAUCUUCAUCUCCUUUGGCCCAUCCUGCUCAAGUACAUUUGACCGUAAGCGUAGUAUCAUGGACCCGUUAUAAGAGAACUCUAAAAGGUCUAUGCUCCACUUGGCUUGCAAGCCUCACACCUGAACAAGGUUAGAACUUUGCUUCUUUUUUACCAUUAAGUUCUUUGUAUCUAUGUUAUUAUCUCUUUACAUUUUUGUGUUCCGUCGUGUUUAGAGAUAAACAUACCGGUUUGGUUUCGCAAAGGCUCUCUUCCUGCUCCACCACAGUCGCUUCCACUCAUCUUAGUGGGACCCGGAACCGGGUGUGCCCCUUUCCGUGGGUUCAUAGCUGAGAGAGCCGUGCAAGCUGAGACUAGCCCCAUCGCACCAGUCAUGUUCUUCUUUGGUUGCAGAAACAAAGACACAGACUUUCUAUACCGAGACUUCUGGGAGUCUCACGCAAGAGAAGGAGGCAUGCUCUCUGAAGUGAAAGGCGGAGGGUUUUACACAGCAUUCUCUAGAGACCAGCCAAAGAAGGUUUACGUGCAACACAAGAUACGAGAGAUGAGGAAGAAAGUUUGGGAUUUGCUAUGUGAUGGAGCCGCCCUUUACGUGGCGGGCUCGUCCACGAAAAUGCCUUGUGAUGUAAUGUCGGCCUUGGAGGAGAUUGUGAUGGAGGAGACCGGAGGAUCGAAGGAAAUGGCUUCACGGUGGCUCAAGGCUUUGGAGAAAGCUGGGAGAUACAAUGUUGAAGCUUGGUCUUAAACCCAACUUCCUCCAUAUCAUGUAAUGUUUGAUUACUAGCUACACGAAUCAUUGGGUUAUUAUUUAUUUAAAUUGGUUUAAAUAUUCACAUUGAAUGGUUCAAAAUGAAGAUGAUUUGUUUGAUUGUAUACGUUUAGAACUCUAUGAAUAAUUUAAUUUUAAUUUUUUUUUAUAUAGUGAGGGUUCUUACCUUUUUCAUUUUAAAACUAGAGUUUGUUUGAAUAAAUCAUUCACUUCACUGAAUAAUACAAGAUUUCAAUAUUUAUAUUAAAAACGUCAAUUAAAUAAUAUUAAAUUUUAAACAUAAUUGAAAAUCAAUGUAAAAUGUCAAUUACUCAAAAUUUUAAUUUAUUGAUUUAUCGUAUAAGAGCACACUUUAGUUAUUUUUCAAAUUUUUCGAUCGGAAAAUUUAAUACUCAAAUAUUAUGCGAGUAUAUUUAUUCUUCAAUUAAUAAUUGAGUGGUAAAAUAAAAAAUGAAAUAAUCAAUUGUUACAAAAUGGACAGAAAUUAUUAUUUUUUGAGUUUGUUUAAUUCUUUUUAAUUUUGUGCAGUCAAGUGUUAGUUGAUAAUAAUUCUAAGCAAACAAUACUCCCUCCGUUUUUUAAUAUAAGUCGUUUUACAGCUAUGCACGUAGAUUAAGAAAACCAUUAAUUUCUUAUAUUUUCUAAACAAAAAUAUCAUUAAUUAUUUACCUAACCACAAUUCAACCAAUAGAAAAAUAGAAGAUAUAUUAUUAUUGGUCAUACAACAUUAAUUAUUAAUAAAUUUUACAUAAAAAACCGAAAACGACAUAUAAUUUGGAACAAAAAAGUUUCUCUAAAACGACUUAUAAUAAAAAACGGAGGGAGUACUUUUUAAGUAUUAAAGCUGCUGGUUUCAAAUACUUUGGUAAUAAUAUUGAGAGUCUAAAAGUUGAAAUAUUUUAUGUCUAUACUAAAUUAAUUGUUUAUUUAAACCAAUGAUUAAUGACAUUAACGUGUCUUCUUCACUAAAAUGUCUUGAGAUCUCUAUCCAUCCCAUCACUCUCCAGAGGCUAAUUCACACUCUAUCGUGGGAAAGCAAGAAUCUCAUCCCCAUCUGAACUUUUUUUUUUUUAAACUGACUUGUAAAAGGUGAAGCUAAAUGGCGGUGGCCUUCCGUGGAGGCCGGAACGGCGUCGGAUCAGGACUCCGCAGUUUCUUCUCGUACCGGAUCUUCAUCUCCGCCUUGUUCUCUUUUCUCUUCCUCGCCACCUUCUCCGUCGUCCUCAACUCCUCUCGUCACCAACCUCACCUAGAUCACGUAAGCUUUUCCCAAUCCGAAUCAAAAUUUAGAAAUGAAUUUAGAAUCUGAGCUUCGAUUUUUGGUGUUUAGACAUUGCCGAGGACGUUUCAAUCGGAUCCGUUGAAAACGAGGUUAGAUCUGAUCCACAAGCAAGCCACCGAUCACCUCACGCUUGUGAACGCUUACGCUGCUUACGCUAGGAAGCUGAAGCUCGACGCGUCGAAGCAGCUGAAGCUCUUCGAAGAUCUGGCGGUUAACUUCUCCGAUCUGCAGGCCAAACCUGGACUGAAGCUCGAAAACGGGAACGCGAUCGAGGAGGAUGCGUUUCGGCAGAUCGAGAAAGAGGUUAAAGAUAAGGUGAAGACCGCGAGGAUGAUGAUCGUUGAGUCCAAAGAGAGUUACGAUACACAGCUCAAGAUCCAGAAGCUCAAGGAUACGAUCUUCGCUGUUCAAGAACAGUUGACGAAAGCUAAGAAAAACGGCGCCGUUGCGAGCUUGAUCUCGGCUAAGUCGGUUCCCAAGAGUCUUAACUGUUUGGCUAUGAGGCUUGUUGGUGAGAGGAUCUCUAACCCUGAGAAGUAUAAGGAUGCUCCGUUUGAUUCGGCUGUGUUGGAGGAUCCGAGUCUUUAUCACUACGCGGUUUUCUCUGAUAAUGUGAUUGCUGUUUCCGUUGUGGUGAGGUCGGUUGUGGUGAACGCUGAGGAGCCGUGGAAGCAUGUGUUUCAUGUGGUGACUGAUAGGAUGAAUCUCGCCGCUAUGAAGGUUUGGUUUAAGAUGCGUCCUUUGGACCGUGGUGCUCGUGUUGAGAUUAAGUCGGUUGAGGAGUUUAAGUUCUUGAACUCUUCGUAUGCGCCGGUCUUGAGGCAGCUAGAGUCUGCUAAGUUGCAGAAGUUUUACUUUGAGAACCAGGCGGAGAACGCGACUAGAGAUGAACAUAACAUCAAGUUCAAGAACCCCAAGUAUCUCUCGGUGUUGAACCAUCUGAGAUUCUACUUACCGGAGAUGUAUCCGAAGCUGAAUAAGAUCUUGUUCUUGGACGAUGAUGUUGUGGUGCAGAAGGACGUGACUGGGUUGUGGAAGAUUAAUUUAGAUGGGAAGGUGAAUGGAGCUGUUGAGACGUGCUUUGGCUCUUUUCAUCGAUAUGGUCAAUACCUAAACUUCACUCAUCCUCUGAUCAAAGAGAGCUUUAAUUAGAGUCUGCUAAGUUGCAGAAGUUUUACUUUGAGAACCAGGCGGAGAACUCGACUAGAGAUGAACAUAACAUCAAGUUCAAGAACCCCAAGUAUCUCUCGGUGUUGAACCAUCUGAGAUUCUACUUACCGGAGAUGUAUCCGAAGCUGAAUAAGAUCUUGUUCUUGGACGAUGAUGUUGUGGUGCAGAAGGACGUGACUGGGUUGUGGAAGAUUAAUUUAGAUGGGAAGGUGAAUGGAGCUGUUGAGACGUGCUUUGGCUCUUUUCAUCGAUAUGGUCAAUACCUAAACUUCACUCAUCCUCUGAUCAAAGAGAGCUUUAACCCCAAUGCUUGUGCUUGGGCCUUUGGGAUGAAUAUAUUUGAUCUCAAUGCUUGGAGGCGUGAGAAAUGCACUGAUCAAUACCAUUACUGGCAGAACUUGGUAAGUCCGUAUCUUUUCUUUGUAACUUAUGCAUAUCAAAUAAUCUCUUUAUCUUGUGUUGAUUGUGUGUUAAUCUCUCUUGAGCAGAAUGAAGACAGAAGUCUCUGGAAAUUAGGCACUCUGCCUCCGGGACUGAUGACAUUCUAUUCAAAGACGAAAUCACUGGACAAGUCAUGGCAUGUGCUUGGGUUAGGCUACAACCCAGGAGUGAGCAUGGACGAGAUUAAAAAAGCAGCAGUGAUACAUUACAAUGGAAACAUGAAACCAUGGCUCGACAUUGCUAUGAACCAAUACAAGUCUCUCUGGACUAAAUACGUCGACAACGAAAUGGAGUUUGUGCAGAUGUGCAAUUUUGGUCUUUAAAGAAAGAUAUCGAUGAAGAGGUAACCUCAAAUCGAUAUGUGUUCAGUCAUUCAGGGCAUUCUUUAGCUUAUAUACGUUUAUCUUUUACUAGGGAUUGGUCCGCCCUACGGGCGGGUAAGUUUACAAUAAAAUUCUUUAUAUUAAAAUAUAUUUUAAUUUUAUAAAACAUUUAAAAAUUAUUUUAAGUAUAAUUUGUUUUCUAAGAUCAUAUUGUAAAUUUCAUUUGUUAAACGUUAAACAACUGUUAUAAAUUUUCUUCUAAUAUCAUACCUUAUUUGUUAUUUGAGUUUCUAAGAAAAUGUAAAUUGGUAGUGCAUUAGGUUUGCAUUUGGAAUUGAUAUGUGUGAUACUGAUUUUAGUUUUUUUAAAAUGUUGUGUGUCAGGAAGUGUGAUUGCAUGAGGUCAUUUGGAUGAGGAAUUAAAUGUGAUGUGAGUGAGUUUGUAUGCUUCUGAAACUGAUUUAUAGUAUACAAUACCAGUAAAUUUGAUUUGUAUGAACAAUUUGAAUUGGAGAAGAAGUGUUCGGUUAAUAUAUUUCAAAACUUUAUGGGCUUUCAAGGAUUUUUGUGUUGUUGGUCGUUUAAGUUUGGAAUCCACACUCCAUUGAGUAACUGUUUUUUUUUUGCGCUUGGGAGCUCGUCAUCGUUUUGCUUGGAGUAUUUAUUUUUGCAAAACAGUUGAUAUUUAUACUUAUAUCAAGUGAUUCGUAAUAAAUUUAUGGUUAAACAUUUGGCCUCACAAUGUCUAUUUUAGUUAUUUCAAUCUCAUAGGAAUGAGUUUAUUUGUUUUAUACAACCAAUUCUCAUAGUUUAAUGUGAGUGACAUUCAUCCUACAUAAAAGUUGAAUAGGAGUAGUGUGUACUUUGUUUAAUCAUUUAUAAUCAGUUGGUAUAUUUUCUCUUUUUCAUAGUGGGAUGAUUGGUUUAAAGAACUUUAAUGGCAAAAAAGGAACCUUAAUGGCAAUCUGAAUUACGUUGGUUGAAUGAUGAUCUAAGGCAUAGCAAAGUCGGAUUUAGAAAGGUGGUAAAAUCAAGAUUUAGCCAUAGGUCAAUGAAAAUGUUAAACCGAUGGAGGCAUUAGUAGGAAAGCAAUGGUUUGUCAGCUCGAUCAGUUGGUCUAAAUGUUAAAUUAGUAACGCCAAUUAAAACCAAAGAUUCCAAUAGGAAAACUUGAAAAAACUUGUGAAAUGGAAGGUUUUGAACACGAAUGGGUUCAUUUAGUAUAUUGAUAUGUUUGUGAUUUUAAUGUUUUUAUUUGUGUGUUCCUCGGUUAAUUUAUUCUCAAAUGUUUUUAUAUGCUUAUUUGAUGAUAAGUGAUUUUUUUUAUAACAUGAUUAAGAUUAGCAAUUUUGUGAUAAGUUAACUAUCACAUUAUGUGUCAUGUUUUACAAUUAUAUUUAUUCAUAUUUUGGUUUCCUAAUAUUAUAAUUAUUAUUUUUAUAGGUAUUUUAACGGCUAAUGACUAAUUUUUUAGUUGUUGAUUUAUAUUUGUAAUAGUAAUUAAAAAUUCUAAAUUAUUGUUCUGCUUUAUUUUACUUAACUUUGCUUUCAAUUAAUAUUUAUUUUAUUAAUUGUGUUUUUACAGUCUUAAUAUUGUUUUUUUUUGGAAUUACCAUUUUCAUUAUAAAUUAAAAGGUUUUGGUUCAGUAUAUUUAUGUAUUAGUAUAGCUUUUUCGUUUCUAGAUUGAAGAGAAAAAACAAUGAAAAUAUUUGAAGUUUAAUAGAAUUUCAAAUUAAAUGUUAUAUAAAUUAUAUAAAUAUUUGAUACACGUCAUUUUAUAUUUAUUAUUUUAGUUUUUAUUUAGAUUUGUAACAAUUUAUGUAACUGGAAUUUUUAUCACAAAUAUACAAUUUAAUUGUCCCAGCAUAUCUUUACAUUUUAAUCAAUAUGUUUAAUUAAUGUUAUUUCAUAUUCGUUUGAUUGUAAUUUCGAUAUUGGUCAUCAUGUUUGUUACGGUUAGUAUAGCACAUCAAAAUUGUGAGAAUCUGAGAACCUGUUUUUGUAAGCUUCCACUCUUUGGCUCAACAGCCCCAUAGUAUGGAAUCGAAACCUGUUUGGGCACUUAUACAACCAAUUUGAGCAUGGAAGAGUGUGAUUCUUGUCGUGUCUAAAACUUGUGAGCAGAAGUUGGGUUACGGAACUAAAGACGAUAAGUGAUAAUCGUAGGAAUUUUCUUUAUUGUUAGGAUAAUUUCAAGACAGAGGAGAUGAUUUCAGGGUGCCCAAAUACAAAGUAAAGAUAAUCUUAUUCAAGAGUUGUGUUAUAAAGUCUUGUGUGCCUUCUUUGAUGGGACCCUCUGGCGCAGGAAACAGAGCUUCUCCAGCAGUGUUUCCGCUCAAUACAUUAGGUACUCCAGGUGAUGUGUCCGUAUCACUUCGUUCGUCCGCCGGUCGGUUAUGCUUCUGGAGGUGUUCUCGGACCCAUGGAGUCAGAGCCAUUGCAGAAGAUACACGUAGAUACUCUAUUUUUAUGCACCUCCACAAUUAUCAGAACUGGAUGAUCAGUUGACGUCACUCCCACGCAAUCUGCAGUUGAGAACGUGUAAGAUUCUUGAGAAAGUGUGUAGGAGGGAAGUGAUACAAACAUCCUGUUGUUCAAGAUUCUUACUCUUGGAAGAAGCUCUAGCCAGAGCCGCUUUCAUUGUUAAAGUAGAAAUGAGUGUCAGAUGUUGUAUUAAGGAAUAGUCGACCUGCAAGCAGAACUAAGUAAGCUCCAUAAGAUGUUCUGAAUCAGAACUUCUGAUGCACAAAGUGAAUGCACAGACUCUGUGAUCUUGACGAUCUGGGUAAGUUAGGUGUAGAUCGCAACUGUUGAGUCUGAAAAUCUGAAGUGAUUGUUGAUUCUGUAAGACUAUGUAGCAAAUUUUGAAUAAGCUAGUUGUGGAGUUCAUUCACAGAGUGCUCUCGCUCCUUAGUUGUGGCAGCUUUAGUGUUUGCUUCCUCGAUAUUCGUAGAAGUUUAAAAAAAAAAUGAAAGAAUACAAAAAUAAAUAGUUGAUAAGCUGUAUAGCAGUGAUUUUCAAAAUAGUGUGGGCAUAAAAAUGAAAAUUUGGAUAUAUUAGUCGACACAUACUCUAGUGAAAGACAUUACCUUGUUACAAUAUGCAAUCUCCAACUGUUUAAUGUUUCUGGCCUCUAAGCACACACCAGUUAUCUCCAUUCCAGUACACGGGGAAACAAUGCCUCCUCACCAAGUUCAACAUGUCAGAAACAUAGAUUGGAUAUAAGCACUCUAAAGGUUAAACAUGUUAACAUUUUAAAACACUGCAGAGAACAAUGGUACCUCAUAUAGACGACUCUAAACAGGUGCACCAGCUAUCCCCUCUUGUAGAAGACGCAAAAUCUUCUGAAAGAGUUUUAAUUGAUUGCUUAUUCGAGUUACUUUUAAGGAAUGGAAGUAAACCUGGUGAUCGGCGGUGGGACUGUCUAGUGGAGAUGAUGCGAGCGCCGAUGUUGUCCUGUCGAAUCUGCUGCGCUGAACCAGUUCCUGUUGUUUUAAAUCACAUUAAUCAGACCAAAUAUUAUGCGAGUAUAUUCAUUCUUCAAUUAAUUAUUGAGUGGCAAAAUUAAAAAUGAAAUAAUCAAUUGUUACAAAAUGGACAGAAACUUUAUGUUUGUUUAAUUUUUUUAAAAAUUUUGUGCAGUUAAGUGUUAGUUGAUAAUAAUUUUACGCAAACAAUACUUUUAAGUAUUUAAGCUGCUGGUUUCAAAUACUUUGGUAAUAAAAUGUUAAUGUCCUAAAGUAUAAGGGUGAGACUGGGGUUUUAAUAAUAUUGAGAGUUUAUAUCUACACUAUAAAUUAGUAAUUGUUUAUUAAACCAAUGAUUAAUGACAUUAACGUGUCUUCUUCACUAAAAUGUCUUGAGAUCUCUAUCCAUCCCAUCACUCUCCAGAGGCUAAUUCACACUCUAUCGGGCAAGCAAGAACCUCAUCCCCAUCUGAACUUUUUUUUUUUUAAACUGACUUAUAAAAGGUAAAGCUAAAUGGCGGUGGCCUUCCAUGGAGGCCGGAACGGCGUCGGAUCGGGACUCCGCAGUUUCUUCUCGUACCGGAUCUUCAUCUCCGCCUUGUUCUCUUUCCUCUUCCUCGCCACCUUCUCCGUUGUCCUCAACUCCUCUCGUCACCAACCUCAUCUCGAUCACGUAAGCUUCCGAUUCGUUUCACAAUCCGAAUCAAAAUUUAGAAAUGAAUUUAGAAUCUGAGCUUCGAUUUUUGGUGUUUAGACAUUGCCGAGGACGUUUCAAUCGGAUCCGUUGAAAGCUAGGUUAGAUCUGAUCCACAAGCAAGCCACCGAUCACCUCACGCUUGUGAACGCUUACGCUGCUUACGCUAGGAAGCUCAAGCUCGACGCGUCGAAGCAGCUGAAGCUCUUCGAAGAUCUGGCGGUUAACUUCUCCGAUCUGCAGGCCAAACCUGGACUGAAGCUCGAAAACGGGAACGCGAUCGAGGAGGAUGCGUUUCGGCAGAUCGAGAAAGAGGUUAAAGAUAAGGUGAAGACCGCGAGGAUGAUGAUCGUUGAGUCCAAAGAGAGUUACGAUACACAGCUCAAGAUCCAGAAGCUCAAGGAUACGAUCUUCGCUGUUCAAGAACAGUUGACGAAAGCUAAGAAAAACGGCGCCGUUGCGAGCUUGAUCUCGGCUAAGUCGGUUCCCAAGAGUCUUAACUGUUUGGCUAUGAGGCUUGUUGGUGAGAGGAUCUCUAACCCUGAGAAGUAUAAGGAUGCUCCGUUUGAUUCGGCUGUGUUGGAGGAUCCGAGUCUUUAUCACUACGCGGUUUUCUCUGAUAAUGUGAUUGCUGUUUCCGUUGUGGUGAGGUCGGUUGUGGUGAACGCUGAGGAGCCGUGGAAGCAUGUGUUUCAUGUGGUGACUGAUAGGAUGAAUCUCGCCGCUAUGAAGGUUUGGUUUAAGAUGCGUCCUUUGGACCGUGGUGCUCGUGUUGAGAUUAAGUCGGUUGAGGAGUUUAAGUUCUUGAACUCUUCGUAUGCGCCGGUCUUGAGGCAGUUAGAGUCUGCUAAGUUGCAGAAGUUUUACUUUGAGAACCAGGCGGAGAACUCGACUAGAGAUGAACAUAACAUCAAGUUCAAGAACCCCAAGUAUCUCUCGGUGUUGAACCAUCUGAGAUUCUACUUACCGGAGAUGUAUCCGAAGCUGAAUAAGAUCUUGUUCUUGGACGAUGAUGUUGUGGUGCAGAAGGACGUGACUGGGUUGUGGAAGAUUAAUUUAGAUGGGAAGGUGAAUGGAGCUGUUGAGACGUGCUUUGGCUCUUUUCAUCGAUAUGGUCAAUACCUAAACUUCACUCAUCCUCUGAUCAAAGAGAGCUUUAACCCCAAUGCUUGUGCUUGGGCCUUUGGGAUGAAUAUAUUUGAUCUCAAUGCUUGGAGGCGCGAGAAAUGCACAGAUCAAUACCAUUACUGGCAGAACUUGGUAAGCCCCAUAUCUUUCUUAGUAACUUAUGCAUUUCAAAAAAUCUCUUUUAUCUUGUGUUGAUUGUGUGCUAAUCUCUGAGCAGAAUGAAGACAGAAGUCUCUGGAAAUUAGGCACUCUGCCUCCGGGACUGAUGACAUUCUAUUCAAAGACGAAAUCACUGGACAAGUCCUGGCAUGUGCUUGGGUUAGGCUACAACCCGGGAGUGAGCAUGGACGAGAUAAAAAAAGCAGCAGUGAUACAUUACAAUGGGAACAUGAAACCAUGGCUAGACAUUGCUAUGAACCAAUACAAGUCUCUCUGGACUAAAUACGUCGACAACGAAAUGGAGUUUGUGCAGAUGUGCAAUUUUGGUCUUUAAAGAAAGAUAUCGAUGAAGAGGUAACCUCAAAUCGAUAUAUGUUCAGUCAUUCAGGGCAUUCUUUAGCUUAUAUACGUUUAUCUUUUAUAUAUUAUAUAGGGUUACAAAAGUGUUUUGCUUUGUUCUUUCUGUCAUAGUUUUGUUCUUUAUUUAUAUUUUGUGUAACUCUUUCACAUCAAAAGCUUUAUCCAAAACUACAAUGUGUUAAGGUUUGUUUCAUGCAAAGUUUUGACUUAUGAUUGAAACAUUAAAGAGAAAUGGAUUAGGAAGAUAAUGAAUUUUUAUCAUAUGUUGAUUUAGUUUCAUUUUAUUACUAAAAUCAUGAUGAGCUAACUACUUUACAAAACACAAUAAGAUUUUAUCAUAUGUUUGUAUAUCUACAAAAAUAGUUAGAAAUUCAACAAAGUUGUUAUGACCGUUUCUCACCGCAAGACAGAAACUCAAAGAUCCUGUCUCGAGUCAAUGUACGUCCAAACUGCACAAACCCAUCGCACCUUCCGGUCUCUCUGUCUAGGUCAACGAGCGUUGACUUCAAUUUCUCCAGUUCCUCCUCCAUCCCUCCCAUAGCAAAUGCCACAGACGACCGUUUAUUCACGGCGAUGUCCACCGUUAGUCUAAUGGAUCUCUCCACCGCCUCCAACAUACUCACAAGUCUGCUCAUCUUCUCAACCUCCUUGAGAGCCACCAUCGUUUCCCUCUCCAUCGACGUCACUGCUGUCUUUUCCCGUUUCAGAGUUUCCGACGACUCUCUCCACCUCGAAGCAGCAAAGUUAGUCACUGCUUCAACCGGUACAGGUACAAAGAUACCCGCCACGAUUUUUCCCACGGCCACUAGAGCGAUCAUCGCCGCCGCAACCUUGAUCCUUGGAUGCUGUCUUUAUGGAGUACAUUAUAUCAGAUCAAUCCAAAAUACUUUCCUAAAGGUCCAGAUGUGAUGAUUCCUCAAGAUGAAUUAACUGAUCAGCCCAAAUAUAGGAUCUUAUAUCAUAAGCAGGAGACACUGGAGCCUGAAUUGAUGGCAGAGUCAGGUACACCAAGUUUUUAUUCCUAUCAUGUUUUUAAGGAGGGGAUUCAUGGUGUGGAUACUUUGCUCCAUCAUGUUAGCUUAGGACUAUGUUAUGCUACUUAACAGUGAACUUUCUGUCUAGUUAAUAAUGGUAAUUGCUAGAAAAAUGUCAAUGUAGAGAAAUGACUUUUAAUGUUCUGGUUCAGUUGGCUCGUGAACUCUUGCAUAAUAUGCCUCUUAUUGUUUUAGCAGACAUCAUAGAAAGAGCCCGUGGAAUGUCACCCGGAAAAUUAUCCAAGGACAAAACUAAACCAGACUGCUUUCUCAAGAUGGUACUAUGCACAUCCAUUAUAUUUUUUUUUUGAUUUUAUGUUAUAUAUGCUAUGCAACCUUGCUGGUUAUGCUAUUUUUUUAUGCUGUGUUACCUUGAAUACGGAUUUGAUGGUCCUUCUUGGUCAAAAUAUGUUUUCUUAAAAUAUCUUAUUUCUGGUAAGCCUGGAUGAUAUGAGUUUUAUUCCCUUGGCUUGCAUUUAAAUAUUUCAAUCAUGCAGAUUAAAAAUGAAGUCUUGACGAAAGCUGGAAGUACAAAGGAUGUCCGCCACUUCGAGUUCCAAUUUGUUUCUUCUGUAAGUAACUUUGCUAUCACUUACUAACUAGUUUCAAUCAAUUUCUCCUCUUUUAUGAAGUGGUUGUUCAAUUAAUUUCUCCUCUUUGUUUUUUUUUUAAUUCAUUUAAGAGUAUCAAAUAUGAAGUGGGCGAUGUUGUUGAGCUUCUUCCAAGCCAAGAUUCUUCAGCAAUAGAUGCGUUUAUAAAACGCUGUCAUUUGGACCCGGAAUCAUUCAUCACAGUAAGUAGCUCCACUCUGUUGACAUGAUGAUCCCAGAUUGUCUAACUGAAGUAAAUUUUGAUAACUAAUUUACUUUCAGGUUUGUCCGAGAGAGACAGUGAAUAAUGGUUCAUGUGGAGAAGUAAUUACACACCAUGUCCCUAUCAAGCUUAAGACUUUUGUUGAAUUAACAAUGGACGUUACAUCUGCUUCACCUCGACGAUACUUCUUCGAGGUAAGAGUCCUAAUGAUCUUGAAUAUCAGAUUUUUAUAAUGUAAUUUUAAGUAUUUGAUGGAAGUCGUUACAAUGUAUCUUCUCGGUGUCAGGUUAUGAGCUUCUAUGCAACAGCUGAACUUGAGAAGGAAAGACUGCAAUACUUUGCCUCAGCCGAGGGACGUGAUGACCUCUACAAUUACAAUCAGAAGGAAAGAAAAAGCGUCCUUGAGGUAACCAAUUGGGGACACCAUGAUUCGUCUUGAACCAAAUAGAUCUUAUUGCUACUGCCUAUGUAGGUGCUAGAGGAUUUCUCUUCCGUGCAAAUGCCUUUUGAGUGGCUAGUACAGUUAGUACCAUCGCUAAAACCACGAGCUUUUUCGAUAUCUUCAUCUCCUUUGGCCCACCCUGGUCAAGUACAUUUGACAGUAAGCGUGGUAUCAUGGAUCACCCCUUCAUACCCUUAUAAGAGAACUCGAAAAGGUCUAUGCUCCUCUUGGCUCGCAAGCCUCACACCUGAGCAAGGUUAGCACUGUGUUUCUAUGUAUUAUUUUAACUGACUCAGGUCUUUGUUUCUACGUAUUUAUCUUACAUUUUGUGUUCCGUUGUGUUUAGAGAUAAACAUACCGAUUUGGUUUCACAAAGGCUCUCUUCCUGCUCCACCACAGUCGCUUCCACUCAUCUUAGUGGGACCUGGAACCGGAUGUGCCCCUUUCCGCGGGUUCAUAGCUGAGAGAGCCGUGCAAGCUCAGACCAGCCCGAUCGCACCAGUCAUGUUCUUCUUUGGUUGCAGGAACAAAGACACUGACUUUUUAUACAAAGACUUCUGGGAGUCUCAUGCAAGAGAAGGAGGCAUGCUCUCUGAAGUAAAAGGCGGAGGGUUUUACACAGCAUUCUCUAGAGACCAACCGAAGAAGGUUUACGUGCAACACAGGAUACUAGAGAUGAGGAAGAAAGUUUGGGAUUUGCUAUGUGAUGGAGCCGCCGUUUACGUGGCGGGCUCGUCCACGAAAAUGCCUUGUGAUGUGAUGUCGGCCUUGGAGGAGAUUGUGAUGGAGGAGACCGGAGGAUCAAAGGAAAUGGCUUCACGGUGGCUCAAGGCUUUGGAGAAAGCUGGGAGAUACAAUGUUGAAGCUUGGUCUUAAACCCAACUUCCUCCAUAUCAUGUAAUGUUUGAUUACUAGCUAUACGAAUCAUUGGAUUAUUUAUUUAUUUAAAUUGAUUUUAUAAUAUUCACAUUGAACGGUUCAAAUGAAGAUGAUUUGUUUGAUUGUAUACAUUUGAACUUUAUUUAUAAUUUAAUUUUAAUUUUUUUUAUAUAACGAGGUUCUUACCUUUUUCAUUUUAACUAGAGUUUGUUGAAUAAAUCAUUCACCUCACUGAAUAAUACAAGAUUUCAGUGUUUAUAUAAAAAUCAUCAAUUAAAUAACAUCAGAUUUUAAACAGAACUGAAAAUCAACGUACAAUGUCAAUUACUCAAUUUUUUUAUUUAUUAAUUUAUUGUAUAAUAACACUUUAGUUAUUUUUCAAAUGUUUUCGAUCGGCAAAUUUAAUAGAAUAUAUUUAUUCUUCAAUUAAUCAUUGAGUGGCAAAAUUAAAAAUGAAAUAAUCAAUUGUUAUAAAAUGGACAGAAACUAUUAUUUUUCUAAAUUUGUUUAUUUUUUUAAAAAAAAUUGUGCAGUCAAAGUGUUAGUUGAUAAUAAUUCUACACAAACAAUACUUUCAAGUAUUAAAGCUGCUGGUUUCAAAUACUUUGGUAAUAAAAUGUUAAUGUCCUAAAGUAUAUAGGUGAGACUGGGGUUUUAAUAAUAUUGAGAGUUUAUAUCUACACUAUAAAUUAGUAAUUGUUUAUUAAACCAAUGAUUAAUGACAUUAACGUGUCUUCUUCACUAAAAUGUCUUGAGAUCUCUAUCCAUCCCAUCACUCUCCAGAGGCUAAUUCACACUCUAUCGGGCAAGCAAGAACCUCAUCCCCAUCUGAACUUUUUUUUUUUUAAACUGACUUAUAAAAGGUAAAGCUAAAUGGCGGUGGCCUUCCAUGGAGGCCGGAACGGCGUCGGAUCGGGACUCCGCAGUUUCUUCUCGUACCGGAUCUUCAUCUCCGCCUUGUUCUCUUUCCUCUUCCUCGCCACCUUCUCCGUUGUCCUCAACUCCUCUCGUCACCAACCUCAUCUCGAUCACGUAAGCUUCCGAUUCGUUUCACAAUCCGAAUCAAAAUUUAGAAAUGAAUUUAGAAUCUGAGCUUCGAUUUUUGGUGUUUAGACAUUGCCGAGGACGUUUCAAUCGGAUCCGUUGAAAGCUAGGUUAGAUCUGAUCCACAAGCAAGCCACCGAUCACCUCACGCUUGUGAACGCUUACGCUGCUUACGCUAGGAAGCUCAAGCUCGACGCGUCGAAGCAGCUGAAGCUCUUCGAAGAUCUGGCGGUUAACUUCUCCGAUCUGCAGGCCAAACCUGGACUGAAGCUCGAAAACGGGAACGCGAUCGAGGAGGAUGCGUUUCGGCAGAUCGAGAAAGAGGUUAAAGAUAAGGUGAAGACCGCGAGGAUGAUGAUCGUUGAGUCCAAAGAGAGUUACGAUACACAGCUCAAGAUCCAGAAGCUCAAGGAUACGAUCUUCGCUGUUCAAGAACAGUUGACGAAAGCUAAGAAAAACGGCGCCGUUGCGAGCUUGAUCUCGGCUAAGUCGGUUCCCAAGAGUCUUAACUGUUUGGCUAUGAGGCUUGUUGGUGAGAGGAUCUCUAACCCUGAGAAGUAUAAGGAUGCUCCGUUUGAUUCGGCUGUGUUGGAGGAUCCGAGUCUUUAUCACUACGCGGUUUUCUCUGAUAAUGUGAUUGCUGUUUCCGUUGUGGUGAGGUCGGUUGUGGUGAACGCUGAGGAGCCGUGGAAGCAUGUGUUUCAUGUGGUGACUGAUAGGAUGAAUCUCGCCGCUAUGAAGGUUUGGUUUAAGAUGCGUCCUUUGGACCGUGGUGCUCGUGUUGAGAUUAAGUCGGUUGAGGAGUUUAAGUUCUUGAACUCUUCGUAUGCGCCGGUCUUGAGGCAGUUAGAGUCUGCUAAGUUGCAGAAGUUUUACUUUGAGAAUCAGGCGGAGAACGCGACUAGAGAUGAACAUAACAUCAAGUUCAAGAACCCGAAGUAUCUCUCGGUGUUGAACCAUUUGAGAUUCUACUUACCGGAGAUGUAUCCGAAGCUGAAUAAGAUCUUGUUCUUGGACGAUGAUGUUGUGGUGCAGAAGGACGUGACUGGGUUGUGGAAGAUUAAUUUAGAUGGGAAGGUGAAUGGAGCUGUUGAGACUUGCUUUGGCUCUUUUCAUCGAUAUGGUCAAUAUCUAAACUUCACUCAUCCUCUGAUUAAAGAGAGCUUUAACCCCAAUGCUUGUGCUUGGGCCUUUGGGAUGAAUAUAUUUGAUCUCAAUGCUUGGAGGCGUGAGAAAUGCACUGAUCAAUACCAUUACUGGCAGAACUUGGUAAGUCCAUAUCUUUUCUUUGUAACUUAUGCAUAUCAAAUAAUCUCUUUAUCUUGUGUUGAUUGUGUGUUAAUCUCUCUUGAGCAGAAUGAAGACAGAAGUCUCUGGAAAUUAGGCACUCUGCCUCCUGGACUGAUGACAUUCUAUUCAAAGACGAAAUCACUGGACAAGUCAUGGCAUGUGCUUGGGUUAGGCUACAACCCAGGAGUGAGCAUGGACGAGAUUAAAAAAGCAGCAGUGAUUCAUUACAAUGGGAACAUGAAACCAUGGCUAGACAUUGCUAUGAACCAAUACAAGUCUCUCUGGACUAAAUACGUCGACAACGAAAUGGAGUUUGUGCAGAUGUGCAAUUUUGGUCUUUAAAGAAAGAUAUCGAUGAAGAGGUAACCUCAAAUCGAUAUGUGUUCAGUCAUUCAGGGCAUUCUUUAGCUGAUAUACGUUUAUCUUUUAUAUUAUAUAGGGUUACAAAAGUGUUUUGCUUUGUUCUUUCUGUCAUAGUUAUGUUCUUUAUUUAUAUUUUGUGUAACUCUUUCACAUCAAAAGCUUUAUCCAUAACUACAAUGUGUUAAUGUUUGUUUCAUGCAAAGUUAUGACUUAGGAUUGAAACAUUAAAGAGAAAUGGAUUAGGAAGAUAAAAUAAUUUUUAUCAUAUGUUGAUUUAGUUACAUUUUAUUACUAAAAUCAUGAUGAGCUAACUACUUUACAAAACGCAAUAAGGAUUUUAUCAUAUGUUUGUAUAUCUACAAAAAAGUUAGAAUUCAACAAAGGUGUUAUGACCGUUUCUGACCGCAAGACAGAAACUCAAAGAUCCUGUCUCUAGUCAAUGUACGUCCAAACUGCACAAACCCAUCGCACCUUCCGGUCUCUCUGUCUAGGUCAACGAGCGUUGACUUCAACUUCUUCAGUUCCUCCUCCAUCCCUCCCAUAGCAAACGCCACCGACGACCGUUUAUUAACGGCGAUGUCCACCGUUUGUCUAAUGGAUCUCUCCACCGCCUCCAACCUACUCACAAGUCUGCUCAUCUUCUCAACCUCCUUGAGAGCCACCAUCGUUUCUCUCUCCAUCGACGUCACUGCUGUCUUCUCCCGUUUCAGAGUUUCCGACGACUCUCUCCACCUCGAAGCAGCAAAGUUAGUCACUGCUUCAACCGGAACAGGUACAAAGAUACCCGCCACGAUUUUUCCCACGGCCACUAGAGCAAUCAUCGCCGCCGCAACAACCUCUCUUCCUCCACGUAAACGUCUCAGCUUCUUGUCGAUGUCCUUCAUCGUAGACUCUAGUUUAACAAUCAUCGUACCUAAGUCUCGAUGACAGAUCUCAAGCUUCUUGAGAAACUCCCCGGAGAAAACAUCGUCACCGUGGUUGCUGAACUUACUGAGAUCUUGGAAUGUUUUUCUGAAGCUAGCUUCUAUCAAAUCGCCGUAACCGUUCUUCUCCUCGUGGAAAUCACGCAACGUCUCGUCGAUCAAGAAGCACUCGUCGCGUUCGGCUCUCUCCAAGCACUUACGCAGAGACUCGCAGAGCUCGGUGACUGAUUUGCUAGUGGUGAAAUAAUCGCUGAGAAGACGAAGCAUCUCGGGGUCUUUGCGGAAGUCGGUUUGAUGGCACUCCAUGAACAUCUUCGAGACGUCGUCGUCCAUGUUGUCCAUACAGUCGCUUAGUUUGCUUAGGUUUUCUUCUGAUUGAGAUUUGAUCAUCAUCGAAGAGGAGGAGGGUCGUGGUAGGAACGUCGUCAUCGCAGGGUAAACCGUUGAGAUUCCUUGACGGAGACGUUUACUCGAAAAUAUGGCGCGAAAUUUCAUCUUAUUAGAACACACAAAGAUCACUUAGAAAUUUAUAGAGAUGAACAGAAGUAACAAUAGCAAUUCACAGAGAUGAUUACAGAAAGUAUUAUGAGAUAAGCGCGUACUGUUAGGUUGUGUUAUAUAGAUAAAAGUUAAGAGCUAAAUUUCCUUUUUUUUAAUUUUCGUAAAAGUUUCCAUAUUUCCUUUUUUUCGUAGGUAUUUCCAUUUUUAAUUAAAUAUUUAAUUUGUCAUUUUUAUAAACACUUAUCGUGUUCAUUGUUUCCUUUUUCGUUUCAGAAUUUCCUUUUUUGCGUUAAGUACAGCUGUAAAAUGAUAAAACGGUAAUUUUUCGUAUUAUUAUUACAUGAUCUAGAAUAAAAUUAUUACACGAAUAAACUAAGGAAGGUUGGUGUAAUAAUUGUCUUUCGUAUUAUUGUUACAGAUCGUAAUUUCGGUUAAGUACAGCACUAGUUUUGUAUUGCAUGUAUCGAUUACGUAUUGGCCAAGUUUGACUCUUUAUCUCAUCACUUGCCCUGUUUUGAUAUGACUUCUUUGUUCUAUCUUUCUUAGAUCUGAGGUUUGUGAGAUGUUUUCUUUUUUCAACUGAGAGAAGACCAAGAAGAAGAAGAAAAGAGGAAGACAAUGGCUGUUGAGAAAGGCUUCCCAACCUCUGUUUACAACGUAACAACUACUAAAGUUGACGAGACCGUUGAAAUCAAUUUUUUUUUUUUAUAUUCUUAUUAGAGCAUGUGCAUUGAGGAUUUAUAGAGGGAGUUCACACAGAAAUCAAGAAAAAAAAAUAAUAAUUCAAUCACAUGAACCUCUUUCUCCUAAAGCUCUUUAGGCUGAACCCCUCUUUCCUAAAAUUCAUCACUGUAGUGCGGGCUCCACGUGUCGUGGCGGCCCCCGAUUGGUUUAAAUUUUUUUUUUUAAAAAAAAAAUCAAAAAGAAAAAAAAAAAUUUAAUAAUAAAAAAAUUAAAAAGCUGAACCCCAAGAGGGGGUUUGCUGAUGCUGAUGCUCUUACAGCUCUACCCCAUAUCUCUUUCUUGUGGUAACAAUCCAGUUAGGCACUGUUCCAGAGGAUAACAUUUCACAUAUGAUAACAGUUAGGCACGGUCCGUCUAGGAAUGGUUUCGGGAUUAGACUUGUCUGUCUACUAGUAUAUUUAUUUUCUUAGCGGCAUGCCAGUUCCAGUGCGAGAAGUUUCUGUGUUUGGUGUUUGACGGGUUCAGUGGCAGACUUCUCCUUUUAUGGUGGUGAUUGCAGUGAGCUUUCGUCGGUCGGAGUGUUAAUGAAUGUUAUGAGUUUGGAUCGUCGAGGCUUGGUUGUGUGAAGGGUUAUGGUGAGCUUCUAUCUAGGUGUAAACUGGACGUCAGAGAGUGUGUUCAAACCGUAUCCGAAAGUUGUGUGGAUCGUGAAGCGAUUCUUCUUGUCGGGUUGUGAAGCUUUGGGUCUUGGUUACGAGUAGGGAUGGUAUCGUUUGGCAGGCCAUAGGUGGCAGCGAUAGAUCCGGGUUAAGAAGACUUGGUGUCUUGGGUUCUUCAAGCGGACGGUAUCGGGUGGUUGCUGUGGGCAGCAGCGAUAUGUCUAGCUUACUGCUUAUUGCUAUUUAGGAGGUUUGCUACAUUGGAGUGUCUUAUGCUUAAGUGUAGUUGUGUUUAGGUUGCUGCGUUUAUUGCGGUUUGGUCUAUGUUUUAUCAAGGUUGUGUUGGUAAGUUGCCCUUGUUGUGGGUUUAAGUUGCUCCGUUGUGGGCUUUAGUUGCCUUUCUUUGGGCUUUGGUGUGUCCGACAUGUUGUGGGUCUAAGCUGCUCCGUUGUGAGCUUUAGUUGCCUUUUUUUUGGGCUCUAGUAUGUCCGAAAGUGUUGUAUCAGGAUUUUACUUUUGAAAUAAUAUUAUCAGUGGGAAAAAAAAAAGAGAGGUGUUUCAUGUUUGCUUAAAACCACUCAAGGUAUAUAUGUGAACACGUCUGAUUAACUCGUAAUAAUUUUACAAAAGUCACAAAACCAAAGGAUCCACACGUGAAACAGUGGUAAUAUAAAUACUUGUAAUAAAAUCCAAACUAGAAUUAAUUUACAGCAUGCAAUCUAGCUCAUCUACCUCUGCCGUAAGAGUUCAAAAUGAAGGAACAAUUCCAUAUCCGGCCAUUAGAGAUGUUGAAAAGAGUUGUUCUGCAUCAGCUUCAGUUUCUGUCCUCUUUGCAAAACGUCCCUUGAUCCGUGGUCUUAUCUCUGCAUAUGCCUUUCUUGAAGCAUACCUUAUUGUCUUCUCGAACUUCCUCCUCUUCUUCUUCUCUCUGUAUCUCUGGACCCUAGCCUCCCUGUCCUCUGGAGUUAGCUGCUGCACCAUCUGACUAGGUGGGCCAGAUAGUUGGUCUAUCGUCUCUUUAGGGUGUUGGACUGUUGUGUCACUCUCUGUUGACUCUGGCACAACAGUGAUGUCCAUUGAUGAAACAGAUACCUAUAAUGACAGAAAACAAAAGACAUUUUCAAUCCUCCAUGGUAAAGAGGACUAAAGAGUUGAUGAGUGGGAAGCACGCUAUCUAAGAAGGCUUACAGUAUGGUUUAGGUCCUUUAAGGAACCAUUGUAGUUGUAGUGACCAUAGUUGUGAUGGCUUUGUUUUAGGUAACUUUUUGGUUCUUCAACUUGAAGUGGUACAACUCCAUCUUCUCCCCCAAAGCUCCUCUGGUAGUGACUGUACUGAUCUUCGAACUGGUUGUCUACGCUGCUGCUGUAGUCCACAAGGUGAAGAUACUCAACACCAAACAAGAGCCCAUUGUUGUGAUUAUCACUGUCUUUCCCUGCAUUCAGCAUCAACCAUGAAGCCACCUCUCUAUCAUCCUCAUCGUCUUCUUUACCCGCCACAAAGCCACUCUCGUUGGUCUCUUCUUUCAACAUAAUAAAGACUAAACACUCUGUUAGUGUAUUAACAAAGGAGGGAAGGCUAAUGAGACUGUUAUAUAGAAUAUUGGAGGUGAACACUUGGCGCAUAGUUAGUGGUUGGUAAAAGUAGUUGGAUCAUCUUGUGGCUGUCCGAAGUUUGAAGUAAGGAUAUGUAUUAAUGAUGAGAAAGUCUUGUCUUAUAUCAUUGGCAAAGGAGAAGAAAUCUACACCAAGUAUAUAUAUCUUCUCUUCCUUUGUAUAGCUUUCCUUCUUCAUGGGAUUGGGACCACCCUCAUGAGUUGACGUGGAUGAUCAUGUUUAAAGAUUCUCAAAAGAGCUUAGUCUUCACGAGAGUGUGUCUAGUGUUUUACCAAUUUGCUAACGUUUACUCAUAAGUGACUAGGAGAUUAGAUUACACACUGUUACACCUCUUUUGGUUAAAAGGUAGAGUAAAGAAUUUAGACAUUAUUUUUUUCAAAAAAAAAAAAAACUUUGGCAUUAUCCCUUCUUGAAACUCUACAAAUGUGAAUACUGUGCUAUAACAUUUUUUAAAGAGUACAAUAUUACGGACUUUUACUCUAUAUGUUUAGAAAUUUAUAUAUGUUGAAAAAACUAUAUUAUAUUUUUAUAUAUUUAUAUCAACUUCAGCUCACUUCUUGUUUGAAUUUAAUGGUAAAUCAUGCAUAAACUAUAUAUUAUUUGCAAGUGAAGUUUCUUUGGUCAGUUAUUUUGGUUAAAUUUUCAUUAAUGUAUCUAUACUAUAAGUUUUAAAAUAAAAUAAAAAACGAUUUAUCAUCAAUUAUACAAUAUUCAUAGAUUCUUUUAACAUAAUAUUUAAUAAUGUAAGUAGAACAAUCAGACAUAAUUUUUUAAUGAAAUCACUCAGUUUAAUAUAAAUAGAACCAUCAUAUGUAUAAACCUUCAUAAAAUAAAAUUGUAGAUAUAAUAAUUCUCAUAAAUUUUAACAGUAUAAUGAGAAAAUGUUAAAAUUGAACAUUUGAAAUGAUUCAUUACGAAGAGGAAAAGCCCAUGGGCCUGCAAAGUUUAUUGCAUUUCAGGUUCAGCAUCGUUUCUUCGUUCGUUCGAUUUUGCCAAAUCCGAAACGAUUCAAAUUCCCUCCGACUCUGAACCUUCUCAGAGACGCUCUUACUCUCAAACACGAUGACUCCGCCACUGCUGAAGCUCGCGCUCGUCAAGGGCCCAAGAGAAGGCGAAUCUUUCGAAUACAAGCCCGGAUCCACUAUCCGAAUCGGCCGAUUCGUUCGUGGCAACGAAAUCGCCAUCAAAGACGCCGGAAUCUCCACCAAACACCUCCGAAUCGUCUCCGAUUCCGAGAACUGGAUAGUCCACGACCUCGGAUCUUCCAACGGCACCACGCUCAACUCUGAAUCUCUCGACGCAGACGCUCCCGCUACUCUCCGCCACGGAGACGAAAUCAAGCUCGGUGAGUAUACUUCCAUCGUAGUGAGCUUCGAGACUAAUGUUCAGGCCGAGGAGGAGGAGGAGGAGGAGGAGGAGCAUAAGCUUCCCCCGAGGCCGAGAAGGAAUACGAGACGACGCAUUCCUGAUCCAGAACCGGAUCCGGUUCAGGAGAAACCAACGCAGCCUGAACCGGCGAAGAGAGGUAGGGCUACGAGAAGUAAAGUAGCGAUUACGAAGGAGGAGGAAGAAGCUGUUGCGGUGGAGAAGAAGGGAAACUCUAGGGCUCGGGGACGUAAGAAGAAGAACACUGAGGCGGUUUUGGAUUCAAUCAAAUUGGAGAUUGAGGAUACUCCAAAGGGAGUGGAGAUCUCAGCGACGAAGAGAGGGAUGAGGAGCAGCAGGCAGGUUGGGAAUGUAAAGAGUGAGGAUACUGCUUUAGAGGAGAUGAGAAGAACUACGAGGAGCAAGAGGAAAGAGAUUGGUGGAGAUGAUUCUUUUCUGGAUUUGGAUAUGGUUCUGAGCCAAGCCCGUGCUAACAAGAAGAAAGUGGAGAAGAAGAGCGUUGUAGGAGAGAUGGAAGCUAGAGAUGAGGAUGUUGAAGCUCAUAAAGGUCGCAGUGAAACUAGUGAUAAAGAAGAUGAGGCACCUAAGAGGGUAGACCAGGUGGAGAUUGAGACAGGGAAGACCACAUUAGGAGAAGAGGAUGUUGUAGAAGAUAAGGAACAUGAAAAGGAUGUUGAAGCUCAGAAAGGUCGCAGUGAAACUAGUGAUAAAGGAGAUGAGGCACCUAAGAGGGUAGAGCAGGUGGAGACUGAGUCAAGAAAGAGCACAUUAGGAGAAGAGGAUGUUGAAGAAGAUACGGAAAAGGAAAAGGAGGAUGAUACAAGUGAUAAAGAUGAUGAGACGUCUAAGAAGGUCGAGACUGAGUCAGGGAAGAGCGCAUUGGGAGAAAAUGGAGAGGCAGAGAACUUACAAGAUGCAGUUGAAGAGAGCGUUGAGGCUGGAGUUGAGACAUCAGAUGGAGAGUGUGAUGAAGAAGAAAAGGCUGAGCAGGAAUCAAGGAAUGUAGAGAAGGUGGAUCUAGAGAAGAUGACACUAGGAGACUGGUUUGAAUACAUGAAGGUGUACAUGCGGAAAAAGAUAGUGGAUGAGACAGAGGAGAUGAUAGAGGGAAUGAGAGCUAAAUCUCGGAGAGUUCACCAGUAUAUUGCAGAGCAGAAGCAAGCACAGGGAGAAGAAAAUGAUGUGUAGAGUUUAAUUUAGACCCAUCCCCGUGAGAGAGAACUAUGACCCUAGUCCUUAUUAAGUUAGGUAAGCUAACAUCUUUUUUAAUCGGCUAAACGUUUUUAUUCUGGUAUGUAGAAUGAAUCUCUUUGUACGAGAUUGUUUUAAAGCAAAGCACGUGUAUCUAUAAUCUAUAUAUAACUCGCUUUGGUGCUAACUAAUCUAGAAAGCAAGCAACGCUAUUCAACUUCAAAGCUAAGCUUUGCCUCUUGUGUUCACUGAUGGCGUGAUGAAAGUAUGAAACCUUUAUUCCAACAAUCGUCCUUGAUUCUACUCGUCCUUUUUUUUUUUUGAGUAACUGAUUCUACUCGUUUUAGAAAUAGGAUGUUUACAUUUUGGUUGUCACGAAGCUUUAGCAAGUUGGCGCCAGAUCAUCAAAAAUAAUUUAUCAAUAAUCAAAUAAAAUUAAAUAAAUAAAGAGGAUUAAUUUAUGAUUCUCAACGGCGUCGUUUCAUGCUUGUUGCACUGUCCUUUUCUCUUCCUUUUGGCUCACAACAUUUUCUCUCCGAUCGGAUGAAAACUUCAACGGAUUGGUAUGAUUUCAUGAACGUUGUAGUUUAUCUUCGCUUUUCGUUAUCUUCUUCGAUUCCGUCUCGAAUUUUGAAUUGAUGAUUCUCCUUAUUUCAUCGGAAGCAUCGAGGAUUUGGAGAUUACGAAUCUUUUGAUCCGAUCAAACGUUGGUGAGUGUUAAUCGUGUUUCCUCUUUCACUGUAGUUUUUUGGUCUUCUUCUUCGUUUAGUAAGUUAGGAGCUGAUAUGUCCUUGGAAUAUUAAUUUUAGUGAAUGUCUUGGAUUUGAGUUUUUUUGGAAUGUUCUAUAACCAUAACAAUCUUUGUUAGGAGCCUCUUCAGAAGAUAAAGUAGAAUGAGUAGAAAAAGAACAGAAAAUGACACUGAGUCAGGAUCAGGAACAGCCACUCCGGUGGAUAGAUUCGGGUUCCUGAAGCAAGAACAUGCCAGCAAGGCUAGAACAACAGCAACAUCAUCAUCCACUGACCAGGACAGGUAUAUAUAUAUGUCCUGAGGAUGAAAUUGAGUUUUAAGAGCUUCCCAGAGAGAGAGAUGGUAAUGAUAGUGUUGUUGUUCGUUACAUAGAGAGGAGAGAAAAGUGAGGAAAUGGAGGAAGAUGAUUGGGGUUGGAGGUAGUGACUGGAAGCAUUACGUUAGAAGGAAACCUAACGUUGUCAAGAGGCGUAUACGCAAAGGCAUCCCUGAUUGUUUAAGAGGUCUUGUUUGGCAGUUGAUCUCUGGAAGCCGCGACCUGUUGCUUAUGAAUCCUGGUGUUUAUGAGGUCAGUUUUAUAUUGUUACAUUGAGAGUCAUGUACUCUGACAAAUCUAACUAAAUUUUACUAUGCAGCAACUGGUGAUUUAUGAGACAUCGGCAUCAGAACUCGAUAUCAUUCGAGACAUAUCCCGUACUUUCCCGUCCCAUGUUUUCUUUCAGAAGAGACAUGGGCCUGGGCAAAGAUCGCUGUACAAUGUUCUUAAGGCCUACUCGGUUUAUGACAGAGAUGUUGGAUAUGUUCAGGUCUAUCCUCCUCCUAUAUAUAUCACUUGUUACUUGUUUUCUUAUAGUAUGGUAUUAAGAUUCAUGGUUUUGAUAACUUGCAGGGGAUGGGUUUUAUAGCCGGUCUGUUGCUUCUUUAUAUGAGCGAAGAAGAUGCCUUCUGGUUAUUAGUUGCGUUGCUCAAAGGAGCUGUUCAUGCUCCUAUGGAAGGAUUGUACCAUGUAAGUCUUGUAGUGGUUUAGAGGGAAAAAACUUAAGAAUGCCUGAAUUAGAAGUUUGUGAUUCUUUAUGAAAAUUAUCAUUUUUUAUUAUGAAUGGACUAUCCAAUAAUAAAGGAUGUUGUCCUGAUCUUACGAAAAAUUUACAUAGGUUAUGGUAUUCGAUAAUUUAAGAGCCAUUGGUUAUGGUGUAAUGUAGGCAGGGCUUCCUCUUGUACAACAAUACCUGUUUCAGUUAGAAAGCUUGGUAAAGGAGCUAAUCCCAAAGCUCGGAGAACAUUUUACUCAAGAGAUGAUCAAUCCGAGUAUGUAUGCAAGCCAGUGGUUCAUCACCGUCUUCUCUUAUUCAUUUCCGUUCCCUUUGGCUCUUCGGAUAUGGGAUGUGUUUCUGUCUGAGGUAAAACUUAACCACAAUUUCAAAAAUCUCUUUUAGUAUUUUGCUGUAAUCAAAGUUCUUUGGUCAUUGUAUAGGGAGUUAAAAUAGUGUUCAAAGUGGGCUUAGCAUUGUUGAAGUAUUGCCAAGAUGAGCUGGUGAGUGAAGUUUUCCUUAUAAGCUGCAAGUUAACAGAGCCUCUCUUUUUUUUUUUCUCUAAUUGGAUCUUAUAUUAACUUUGUAGGUAAAAUUACCGUUUGAGAAACUGAUACAUGCUCUGAAAACAUUCCCUGAAGAUGCAAUGAAUCCGGAUACCUUGCUUCCAUUGGCCUACCCCAUUAAGGUUCUCUCCCUCCUUCGAAGAAUGAAAGCUUACUCUAUUAUCUCUGGUUUAAAGAACUCUAGAACUGUUGACAGACAGUGAAUGAAUCAGAUUCGCAACCUGGACAUGAUUAACUUGAUGAACAAUUUAUCUAUAUGUUGUUAAUUAUGUGUGUUAAAUCUCAGAGCUUUCCUGAGUUGAUUAACAACUGUGGUGUUAAAUGAUUUUCUCAUCCUCAGGUAUCAAGACGUUUGGAAGAACUGAAAGUGGAAUAUGAGAAGACUAUUGCCAAACCUGUUCAACCAUAAGAAAACCGGUUUGGCUAAUAAUCUGUACACAUAUGCUUGGAUUCAAAAUUCUUUACUCCUCCCUUAUCUAUAUCUUAUUGGAAUGUAUUCUUUCUAUCAUCACUAGUGGUAUUCCGGCGCUACGCGCCGGGUUCAUAUGUUUUAUUCACUGUUAUUCUAUGUUUAGUUUUGUAAAAUAUAAAGGUUGAAAUUUAUAUUUAUAUUGGUGAGAGUUAUAAUAAUUUAUUGUUCAACAUAUGUUUUCACGAUUUCUUUUCAAUUAUGUCAUUCCCAUAGUGAUUGUUCAAUGUAAUUUAGAUUUAGUGUUAUGGGUUCAACAAUGUUAGGAGUAAUGCAAUGUGCCGUUAGACGAAUUCAUUGUCUGGAUGUCAAAUUAGUAGCCCGACAAUUAAAAAUAAAGUCUCAAAUAUGAAAACAUGAGCCAAACGUGAAAUGGCAGGUUUGGGGAGUACACACAGUUUUGUGAACUUUAGACCUAUUUAUUUAUGUUUAGUAUAGUGCCAUGUUACUUCCCAUUCUAUUUUUUUUUUUGGCGCUCAAUUCAGAUAUAUUUGUAUUUAUGUGUUUAUUUCAUGAUUAAUGAUAAGUUCACUUUCACAUCAUGAUCACUUUUAUUUUAUUAUGAUAUAUCUUUUUCAUAUUUUGGCUUCCUAGAUUCCUAAUUGCUUUUUUCUAGAAUUGUAAUCUUGUUAGAGAUAUUUCACUGCUGUUGGUAAAAACAUGUUUAUUGUUGAUUUAUAUUCUUACAAAAUAAUUAAACAAUGGAAAUUAUUGUUAUUAUAUGUUAUAUUAUAUCGUACUUUCGAUGUAAAUUACUGUUCUGCGUGUUUCUUUUGUUGUUUAGAAUUUUUUUUUAAAGUAUUUCCAAUUCUAUUAUAUUUUUCAUUCUUAAAUUGAGUUUGAAGUAAAAAGACUCAAAUUAUACUAUAUUUUACUCUUUAAUAGAGUAUAAAUUGGUCUUUACCCUAUAAAUAGAUUAAUUCAUUGUUUUAGAAGUAAACAUAUUUUGUGAAGUAAAUGUAUAUUAAAAAUUGAUAGAGAAGAAAGCCAAAAAUUGUUUUAGAAGUAAACAUAUUUUGUGAAGUAAGCGAAUAUUAAAAAAUAUUUUAAAAAACAGCAUGAAAUACUAUUUUAAAAGUAAAUGACGAAAACUGAAGAUGAAUGGAUUGAGCUGCUCCUGGGAUAGACAAAAGAGAAUGAUGUGCUUUAAGGAAGACAUGUUAUAUUUCAACGUUUAAUUGGUCAAUCAUUUUCUGAAUUGCCAUGCCUACAUGGAACAAAUCCUUUUUAUACCCUAGGCACGCCACUGCUUCUAACGACUAUUCAUGUGUGACGUAUAAAUUUACAUAGUUAGUAACAUUUUGUUUGCAGAUGGAACAUAUAAUUUUGAUGGACAUCAACAUUAGAUUUCUUAUCUUUCACAGUUUCACUUUAUCUUAGUUUAUUUUAAUGACUUUCAUUGGAUAUUAAACUUCUUAUUAGACCUUGUUGUAUCUCUCUUUGUAUUUUCUUUUCACGCAUGCCAAAUAUUGUUUCACAUCAGUAGUUAUAUUUAAAACAACACCAUGAACUCUUAUUCUUUCUAUCUCAUCAUCUUACCGCCAUUAUUUUUUGUUCAUAUCUAAAUCCCACGGGAGCUGCUGCGUCUCAUCCCGAUGAUGUAGCGGGUCUUUUAGUUUUCAAAUCUAGUAUAAGUUAUACUGUAUAACCCAAGUCUCUCUCAAAGUUUUAAGUAACUGAAUGAAAGGUAUUGAUUAGUGCUUGUGGGACGUUUACAUUGCUAUAAGGGUGAUCACCGAGUUGUCGAACACACUGUCCACAUAGGGUCGACUAAUCCCAGAAUAUUUUUUACCGGCAUUAUCUCCCUGGAACUAUACCAUUAGGAAUCGCUAAUCUCAAGCUCAUGACCUAUCUGAAACCAUAAAGCUUAAUAGAUUUGCUUGUAAUUUCAACUAACAUACUGAUUCAUAAGAUAAUAAUUUCUUUGGUUCCAACUAAUAAACAAUACAAAUCUUAACUAACCAAAUAAAGACUUUGUAAAAUCCUCAAACUACCUCCACGAAGAAAAUAUGUCGACAUGUAUGCAACAAUACUCUCUCUGUAGAGUAUGACACAAUAAUAACCUUUGGUCUCAGUUAACAGCCGAGAGAGGGUAUAUUUUGAGUCCGACACAGCUGCUACGUAAACAGAGGAAGCGCGUAUAAGGUGUUGUUGCUGCUGCUUUGCAUCACCACUGGCCUGUUUCAACAGUUUCCCAUCUUGAAAGUUGACACGCUCUCAGUAAGUCUCAGAUGCUGAAAUUCUAAGUUCCUCAACGGACUCAAUGCUUGGUAUGUCGUUUGGUCUUUUCAUGGGCGUUGAACACGAAGGUUCAUUCACCUGUUUGCACCAAAGAACAUUCCUAUCGUCACCAGUAUGUAAAAACCAGCUAUAAUGUUUGAUAUGUUUUUCCGGGUUCGUUUAAUUCAGAUUGAAAUUUUGAAACUUACAAGUUUUCAUCAAGAAGAUAUUUCCAUGCGCUGAUUGUGAUCUCUACGACCUUGUGACUGUGAUCACUCUUGGGCUCUAUCCAUUCUUCACAGCAUGGGAUGAUCAUGGAGUUGAUCUUAGCACAUGCAUCAUUAUUGAAUUUCAAUGAAUUUGACAGAAGAAAGGGUAAAUUUUCAGCAAAACAACGAAUAAUAUUUAAUCCAAAUCUAUAAAUUCAAAGGAAUUAGCUAACUCAUAUCAAUGGAAGUAAGAAGGCUGGCGUUAGCAACAUCAAAAACAUCAAGAGAGGAUGAUACAGAACUGAGUGCUUAGGUUCUCAUUGGCAUCCAUGCCUCCUCUGUUUAAGAUUUUGAGGUGAUAAGUUACUCACCAGGGAUUCUUAAGUUUUCCUCCAUUGAUGUGCAAUCACAUAAGCUUUCCUAACAUAAAAUUAUCUGUCUCGAAAAGUUAAGAAAACGAUGAAAAAAGCCCAGGUUUUGGGACGAUAUAUGUUAUGAAACUUUUGAGAUUUGUUUAUACCAGUUCAAGACAACUUCUUGCAUCGCCUUCUUCCCACUCUCAGCCGCUAAAGUGUAAUUGUGAUAGUUCGAUUCUGUUUUCAGCAUGUGAAGGUUCCACUCAGAUUUAAUAGACGAAGUGUAUCUGUAGAAGAGAAGGAACAGCACCAACAGAUUACCACAACAGUGGAGCUAAAUCAUGAAAGAUCUCUCUCUUCUGAAAUAUGAAAGCAAAGCAAAACCACACGACACAUUAUAUUAUUACAAAACAUCAAAGCCAUUUAACUUUUUAAUUGUCUAGAGUCUCAACUAUUAUCCUAAAAAUCUGAAAGCAUGUCCUAGAUUAACCGAGCAAAACAAACCAAGACCUUGUAAAAAAAAUCGAUUGCAAACACAAAAACCAAGACGAUCAGAAUUCAUAAGAAAUGCUAAGCAAGUGAAGUUUAAUUGCAUAGAGAUAAUGAACAACCUUAGAUAACUCUUGAAGAGCAUUCUCCCUGAGUUUGAGGUUGCAGAUGUCGAGCACCAACUGCUCUGCCGCAUAGAGCUUGCGGUCGUCGCCUAUUAGUUCAAGUUAGAGUAACCAAUUUUUCUUACAAAUAUGAAAGAGUCCCAAAAUAAAAUAAUAAAAUAAUGAAAUUCGCCGAUUUAAAAAGCUUUAAUCAGAAUACCUUGGAAUCUAGCAGCAACAUAUCAAUCCCCCCCCCCAAUCAACUGGCCUCUUUUUGACAUUCAUAGCCUCCAAAAACUGGAGCAGUCGCGUCUGUACCACCUACUUGCACCGGCCUGCCUUCAAUUUUUCUAAGCUUGCAAAUUAAAAAUCGAUCGGAAAAAUGUUUAGAGGUAUUUGAAAGGCCAAUGAGAAGGUGUAUCUAUAUAUUUACUCUGGAAAAGCUCAGGAUCGAGAAAUUAAACAUGCAAUGAAGAGGAGAAAGUGGGAUUAGUAUGUUGAUUAUUUGGCAUAACGGCAGAGGGUUACGUGACGGGAGGUGGAAAAGGAAUCGUAGGUUUCAGACUUCUGAAUCUAUUCAAUUAAUGAUCCAUGUAGAAAGAAAGGCAUCACUUAGUGGGCCCAGCAUACUAAGAUUACAUUCAAAGUUUUAGCAAAACCCAGCAUACGAAGCGAACUAAAUUUUCAGAUCUCGAUCAAAACAUAAACUUACUUUAGGUGAUGACAGGUGGCAGAAAACGCCCAAUCCUCCUUGCUGACGUGGCCGCCUGUGGAGAGAGGCAAGUCCCCUUUAUUUAUAAAGAUAUUGGUCAAGUUGGGUGGGGAAUCUCUUUAUCAGACACCCUCUGAUUCUUCGUAGCAACUUCUGGGAAAGAAGGCAUAUGUCCCACCUUUGUGUUAGGAGGUAUAGUGACUUGUGCUUGUAAAAUAUUCUCAUUAUUAGUAAUGUGAAAAAGGUAAAUCAUGCUGUUUAAAAUCUUUUGUUAAUAAACAGCAUAUGCUUUGUACCAUUUUUUGAAAAAGAAUUAAUUCUACUUUUUGAUUAGAAUAAUUACUUGUUGAUCGGACCAACUUUUACAUUACAAAUGGGGAGAUGGAGUGAGUCACGGGAGGGUCCUCCUUUAUUGUCGUUUAGCGGAAAGGGCUUCGAGAAUAGAAAAUAGAAUUUGAUUCGCUGGGCCUACGUUACGUGACGGCUCACCUCGAGUUAUCCGCUCAAAUGGUGCACGUAUCUCAACACGUGUCGUUCAUUGAUUGGUUGAUAUUUCUCUGGCUUUAGCGUAAUCUAGUAAUAUUGUUAUUCUAAGGCCGAAGAUAAUGUCAAAAAUAGAUGUUCAAAACAAAUCUAGAAUUAAAUAAUUUAGCUAGUGGCAGCUGGAAAAGAUAAUUAAAUACUAUAAAAGUUUAUUUUAUAAAGAUUUGUUGCUUAAUUUAUCUGUGGUCAAGAUUCAAGAACACCGUUUCCACAUAUUAAAAAGGGUUUAUAGGUCAUUUUUGGUAAAAAAAAACAGCAAAUUGUUGAGAAAAACAAAACAAAAAUCAACGGUUCAGGAGAGAGCGUUACACAUUUGUAACGCGGAAACCUUUAAUAUAAAGGGUAAAAGCGUAAAAGCAAGUAUUUAGGGCUGGCUGUUACUAUAUAAACGAGUGUCUCUACGUUGCUUUUCUCUUCACGAACGAACGCUUCUCAUUGGCUCAUCAUUACCAAAUUAUUAUAAUCAUCGUUGUUCUCAAAAUUAGGGUUUUCUCUUCCGANNNNNNNNNNNNNNNNNNNNNNNNNNNNNNNNNNNNNNNNNNNNNNNUCUUCCGAUAAUCUCUAUCUGGUGAGCUUUCGUAGAUCUCUUGUUUCUCAAUUCGUCUUUCGUAGAUCUUGAACGUUGUAAUUUUUUCACGAAAUUGUUAUCUUUAACGAAGAAUCUUUCGUUUUGUUUUGACUUUCAGGGUUUGAAGUUUUCGUUUCGUAUCUGGGAAGAAAGGAUUCGUUAAUUCGUGGUCUAGAUCUAAAAUUCAUAUAUAUGUAAGCAUCUCUAACGUCUGACCUUCGAUUUACAUAUAUAUUUUUGGUUUUUGUGUGAGAGAUUCAAUCUGAGCUAUGUUGAUAUUCAAUUAUAUGUUAUUAUUGAUCGAAUAGCUUAGGUUUUGAUCGUUAUAUAUAUACAUAACAAUUCGUUUAAGCUCCAGCUGUAAUCUUAUAGUUCUAGAUCCACUGAAACAAUUUAAUCAUGUGUCUCAUCUGAUUAACCGACGUGCUAAAAUGAGUUUCAAACGUUUAUUUGAGAUCUGUUUUUGAAUUUGAAAACUUUGAACAUUGGGUCUUUGUUGAAUUUAGUACUGUAUGGUUUGAACAUUGAAUCUUCUCUUGGUUUCCUCUUUAGCUAACCGUAUGGUUUGUUUGUUUGUUUCUUGUGAAUUGCAGAAGGCGUGAAUGAGAUUAUGAUGGAAUCGAAAGGUGGUAAUAAAAAGUCGUCGUCAAGUAGUUCCUUAUUUUACGAAGCUCCUCUCGGUUACAGCAUUGAAGACGUUCGCCCCAACGGUGGAAUCAAGAAAUUCAAAUCUUCUGUCUACUCCAACGUAAGCCACUUCCGAGAUCAUUUUAUCACUCUCUCUCCAUUCAUGACAGUAUCUUAACGAUGUUUUUCUUUCCUUCUUUGCAGUGCGCUAAGAGGCCAUCCUGAGUUGUAGCGUGCACCGAGUCCUCCUGCUAUAGUUAUAGCUUUUUAUAAUUUCCAGUUUAUAAUUUACUUUUUUCUUUCUAAGCUCCGUUUCUGCUUGGUUCCCCAAUCCCAUCGUUCUCUCCUCCUACUACAAUGGCCUUAUCUGCAAUCGGUUUCGAAGGCUACGAGAAGCGCCUCGAGGUCUCUUUCUUCGAGCCUAGCUUCUUCCAAGACUCCAAGGGACUUGGUCUCCGUGCUCUGACCAGGUCCCAGCUUGACGAGAUUCUCACUCCUGCUGCUUGCGAGAUCGUUUCCUCCCUCUCCAACGAUCACUUGGACUCUUACGUCCUCUCUGAGUCAAGCUUCUUUGUCUACCCUUACAAAGUCAUCAUCAAGACCUGUGGCACCACCAAGCUCCUCCUCUCCAUCCCGCCGCUUCUUAAGCUGGCCGGUGAGCUUUCCCUGAGUGUUAAGUCUGUUAAAUACACUCGCGGCUCCUUCCUCUGCCCUGGAGGCCAGCCUUUUCCUCACCGGAGCUUCUCUGAGGAAGUCUCUGUUCUUGAUGGUCACUUUACUAAGCUGGGUUUGAACAGCGUUGCCUACUUGAUGGGUAAUGAUGAUGAAAAUAAGAAAUGGCAUGUCUAUGCUGCCUCCUCUGCCCAGACCUCCAGCGACUGCAACAACAAUGUCUACACGCUCGAGAUGUGUAUGACUGGUCUUGACAAGGAGAAAGCCUCUGUCUUCUACAAGAAUGAAACUGGUGGGGAGAAUGGAUCGAUGACCGACAACUCUGGAAUCAGAAAGAUCCUCCCCAAGUCCCAGAUCUGCGACUUUGAGUUCGAGCCCUGUGGCUACUCUAUGAACUCCAUUGAAGGAGAUGCGAUCUCCACUAUCCAUGUGACCCCUGAGGAUGGGUUUAGCUACGCUAGCUUCGAAGCCGUGGGUUACGACUUCAACACCCUCGACCUGAGCCAGCUUGUGACAAGGGUUCUGUCUUGCUUUGAGCCAAAGCAAUUCUCUGUGGCCGUGCACUCGAGCGUUGGAGCGAACGCGUACAAGCCAGAGAUCAGUGUGGACUUGGAAGACUAUGGGUGCAGAGAGAGGACAUUUGAGUCUCUAGGGGAAGAGAGUGGGACGGUUAUGUAUCAGACGUUUGAGAAGCUUGGCAAGUACUGUGGAUCGCCUAGAUCUACCUUGAAGUGUGAGUGGAGCAGCAACAAUAGCUGCAGCAGCGAGGACGAGAAGGACGAGGGAAUCUAGCAGAACUAUUUAUGAGCUUUCUGUUUUUAUGCAAUCUUUCUUUUGUUUCGUAAUGAAUAAUGGCUUGUGAAGUUGAUUUGUUUCGCAAUGAAUAAUGGCUUGUGAAGUUGAGGUACUCUCACCUUUCACAAGCAUGUGUGCUGUGUGUUUCGUACUGUUAUGUUUGGAUCUCUAAUAUAUGAAAAAGACUAUUAUGUUUGCUAUUAUGAUUUACGCUUUCUUACAUUACUCGUGUUUCCUAGUGUUGUCACAAUUGAAUGAAAAAAAAAACUAGAGGGC
rnacentral:lncRNA from 1 species